rnacentral:lncRNA from 1 species
CUCUUCUUCCUCCUCGCAGAUCAAAUCAAGUACCAAACUUGAGUAGCGUUAUUUCGUUCUUGGAUCGGAAAAGAUUAACACACCAGGAGCUCGUAUUUGUUUAUGGGGGGUUUGAAAGCUGAAGUAGCUUUUUGAUCUGUGUUUCUCCCCUGUUCUUCAAUCUUGAUAACUUGCUCUGCUUUUACACUCUGAUUCUCUCCUACUUUUUUUAGUCCUUGGUACUGUUUUCACUGACAUAUAUUGAUCAGACAUGUAUGUAAAUAUUACUUCUUGCUCGCUGUCAGGUCAGUCUGUGGAAAAAAUUAACAAUUAAGGGCUAGUCUGAGAACCCUAUUUUCUCAUGAGACUUUCAUUUUUUACAAGAGAAAUUAGUUCAUUUUUUCUUGAGAAAAUAGAAAUCUCUUUGAAAAUGGAGUUCCCAAACUAAUCCUAAAUGAAUCAACGAGUGUUUGUGUUUGGGACCCUUACCUGUUCAAACAAUUGUGUUUAAGAUGAUGUGCGUGCCACCCUUUCUGUGACCCAACUUUCACAGUUGAAAUAUUCUCUUCUUGGCUGUAAGGUUGCCUGUUCAUGAAGUAAAACUCCAAAGAAAGUUCUUGUCUUUGUGGACAAGAUAUGCCUUUUUUUUUACCCUGUGUUUCUGACGACCAGGGAAGUGAAGUGAUCGUGUGGGUUUUCGUGGCAUGUGUUCAUACGUGUUCCAGAACAAUUGCUUGGAUGUUAUGCCCUUGACAAAUUCAGCUGACAAAGAUUUGAUGUGCUACUUUUACCUGGUCGCAAAAGAACUGGUUUUCCAAGCAGCGACUGUAUCAAUCCACAAUAAAUAAAUCUCCGAGGAGUAAAAUACUUCUAUUGAUUUUCAAAGCAGUGGCUAUGUCCAAAAUUCAUGCAAACUAGGGAAGAUGACAAAAGUUACUUAUCUUUUACUACAAUUAUUAUUUUCUUCUUACCGAAUUCUUUGAUCUUGUACCGUGUCUAGCUGCACGGCGUCAAUGCGUUGUUAUUGGCCUGAAUGUUAUGGAGCAGCUGCUUUCUUGUGCCUGCAAACACAACGACUUUCAGCAACCUCCCUUUGUCCGUUGUGACGUUGUGACGUUGUGAUCCCAGGUCAAUGAAGAUGGCAUUUCGAAACGGUGCUGAAAAUUGUUUUACCUCUUCAGAUCUCUCUGUCAAAUUAAGAAUUCCAGUUCUCGGAUCUGGACCGUGCAAUUUAUAUCUGCAGAAGAUGAAAGGUCAUUCAAUUGCCGUCCAUGUACGAAGAUGCCAACAAGCUCAAACAGGUUCCAACUUUAGCAGGUAACGAACAGUUACGUUGGUGAGCCGACAGUAAGCGACGCCUUGUCUCCAACACCUGUCGGUUCAGCCGGUCGAUCGAUCUAGUCCAUACUGAUCAUGUUGAAUCCCAAUCGGUACAGCCGACCGUCUUUAGUAGUAGCCAUGUAUCACAUUUUGAUUGUUCUAGAUCAAAAAUUUCAAAAAAAAAUCAUGAAACUGUCCGGUAAACAUGAGAGAGUAUUUAGGUUCAUUCACACCCCUCGCUCCAAUUCUGGGACUGUCCGGUAAACAUGUGAGACCAUUUCAAAAAAAUCAUGAAACUGUCCGGUAAAUAUGUGAGACCAUUUCCUAUUUCACUCGUCUCACUCUCCCUUCACUCCAAACCAUGCCAUCAUAUUUUCUUGGGACUCCAACAUUGAGAUGACUUUGUAUAUGCUACAUUAAAUUAGGUUGACUGUGAUGAUAAAACUUGCCUCUGGGUCUUUAACGAAAGGGAGGCGAACAAUGGAGCAACGGAGCUGUAUCGACCGAGAUCAUGAAGUCACCCAUAAUCAACUGACGCAAGACUACUUCAGUGACCCAUGCAUCUAUCAUUCGCUUUACUUUCAUCGAAAUUACCACAUGCGGAGGAGUAUAUUUCUUCAAAUCUUAGAGAGGUUGGGUGAGGCGUUCACUCUUAUAAUCGAUGCACUCAAUUAUAGUGAUUUCUUCCCCACCUAAAUGAAUUGUUGCCCUUCGCAUGGUCGCCUACGGUAGCUUUGCUGACUCUAUUAAUUAGUGAGUAUAUAUCAGAAUGAGAAAAGGAUCGAUCUUAGAGUGUCUUGAACAUUUAUGUAGGGAUGUCAUUUUAUGUUUUGGCGAGAACUAUAGUCGUCAACCCACCGUUAACGAUCUUAGGCGACUUUUAACUAAAGGGGAGGAGGGUGGAUUUCUUGGUAUGAUAAGGACUAUAGGUAGCAUGUAUUAGAAGUGGAGGAACUGUCCCAUUGAAUGGAAAUGACAAUUUACAUGGGGGACAUUGGAUCGCCGACUAUCAUGCUCAAGACGGUUGCCUAGUACUCCCUCCGUCCCCAUGAUUUAGUCGUUUUAGGUUUGUCCCCAAGACGGUAGCGUGUAUUAUGACUUGAACUAUCAUAAUAUGUAAUUCUUUUAGUUUAAAAUAAUUUAAUCUUAUAUAUAUUGUUGGUCAAAGUUUAAAUAGUUUGACUUAGGACAAACCUAAAAUGACUAGAUCAUGUGGACAGAGGAAGUAUAACUUAUGGAUUUGGUAUACUUUUUUAGGGUAGUGGAGUCAAACAACGAUGUCAAUGUGCUCAACCAAUCACAGUUGUUCACUAACAUGAUCAAGAGAUAAGCAUCAGGAUGUGAACUUAACGUUAAACGAACAUGAGUACAACUAAUGGUAUUGUGUCCCUAAUGGCUUCUAUCCCCGGUGGUCAGUGUUUGUGAAGGCCAUUUCCCUUUCAGAGACUCCAAAGUGGUAUAUGUUUACUGCAUGCCAAAAGGGAGUGUGGAAGGACGUAGAGAGAGAGGGAGAGUGAGCACUUAGAUCUUUAAGGCUCAUUCUAUAUUAUCGGUAGCUCAUUUUGUUCUUUUUUCUCACAAAGUACUUGAUGUGACGUGAUUAAGUAUGCAUGUAUCAUUCUGCACAACAAGAUCAUUGAGGAUGGGUGUGGAGGAGCAUAUGAUAUAGAUGAGUAUGGCCCUAUUUGGUAUAGUUUAUUGCACAUUGUUGAGCACCAUUUUGAGUGCGCGGACGGUCCGGCCCUGGGGCCGGACGGUCCGCGCAGGCACAGAACAGAUUAGGGUUCCGAGUUUCUUGCUAUGUUUGUUGGCGAAAAUCUCGGGAUAAGCUCGGAAAUUAGUUUGUAAAGGGUCCAGCCCCCCUCCUCUAUAAAUAGAGAGGUAUACGACUGAUUUGUAAUCAUCAAUCGAAUCAAUACAACUUCUAUUUCGCAUUUUAUCCUAGGAGUAGUUCUAGUCUAGUUUAGGUUUAGCCUCUCGAUCCCCAAAUUCUUCGCCUCUCUUCGACUCUACGCCGAUUAGAGGAGUCUAGGUUGGCCGGCCCGAGCCUAGACAACCCCUAGGAUCUCUCCUCCCCGACGGGGUCCCUCCCGGGAGCGAGAUCCAGGCGCCGCCGGUGAUCUUCCGCCGCCCCUGCGCACGAGCGGACCGUCCGGCCCUAGGGCGCGGAUCGUCCGGCCAUCAGGCAGGGAACCCGAGCUCCUGCACCAGGUCGCAGACCGUCCGGCCCUGUGCCGCGGACCGUUCGCACCUGACCAGAGAGCGCCGCCGCCGAUUCUUCUUGAGUAUUUGACGCUCCGAAAAAGCGUCAACUUACUUUUUGGCGACUCCGCUGGGGACAACACAUAUAGACCUAUCAAAUCGGCUCUCAAUGGCUGGUUCAAAGGAUAGCUCUGAAGUUUCCACCAGCAAUAUCAUCACACCGACAUGGGAAACCUUGCCGGCUGAAGAACAACUCAUGUUCGAGGAGCGUCAGGAGCAGCUGAUCCAAGAAGCAAAGGCGAAGUUCCUGGCCGACUUCAAAGUGGACAGGAACAACAAAGUCGUUCGGCAACGGGCGACAGAUCUGGCUUCGCUCCGAUCUACUACGAUUACCCCCAAUGUAAGUAACACCAACGAACUCCAAUCUCUUAAAGAUUACAUAGACGAGCAGCGAGAACAGUUGCAACGUAUCAUAGGGGAUAUACAAAAUGAUCAUAAAAGGCUAGUGCGUGUGCUUGAUAAGUCUACUAUGACAAAUCUUCCUUCGCACGAGGUUGAAUUGAGGGAAUACACACAUAAUUCAUCGGCUACAGGUUGUCACGACCAGUCACAACCCCUUUAUGGGAUGCCGAUGGACAUGUACCCUGGGCAACGACAGCCUCCCACGCACAUCGGCGAUAAAUUUGCCGAUCUACACAUGUCCGGACCGUCCGUACGUGGGUGCGUACCGUCCGGGCCAGCGGCGACCGAUCCCAUUUUUAGAAGCGAAUUACCGAGACCUGCACCCAAGCCUCCACAUGUCGUGCAAACCCUAGAUAACCCAUUCGGACCAUCUGCGUAUGGCGCUAGACAGUCCGAAUACAAUGUCGGACGGUCCGGCCACAUGGCCGGACAGUCCGCGCACGGAGUCGGACGGUCCGCGUAUUUAACCGGACGGUCCGGCACAGAGUUUUUUAAGGAGGAUGGAUAUCCAACUCCGUAUCCGUCCCAGCUAGACUCCCCAUCUCACCAUACGACACACCAGCACCAUAAUAUAAUCUAUCAAACCCGUGAGAGUGAGUACUUUUCGGCCCCUAGAAGGCCAGAAAGGAAUGGUCAGUCCUAUGAGCCUCAUAGGGCAUGCAUUAACGCGCCACAAAACCCAAACCAAUGGGGAGGAAAACAAUAUACUAACAUCCAAACAAACUCACCCAUAUUGGAUCAAAGAGUCGGUGGUCUCCCACCGGCUGCCAUCGAUAUAGUAAGGGAGGAAAUAGCUGGGGCGUUCCGAGAUAAGCUCGGAGUUAGUAUAGUCCCUGGGGGCAGUCAUAUCGGAGACCUUAUGAUAGCCAGUUUGACCGGCUCCCAUACCCACAGGGGACCAGAAUACCCGAAUUCGUAAAGUUUUCGGGUGACCAAGAAAAGAGCACGCGUGAGCACAUAGACAAGUUCUUAGCACAGUUAGGAGAAUUGGCCGACACCAAUGCAUUCCGUGUACGUUUAUUUUCAUUAUCUUUAACAGGGACUGCAUUCACAUGGUAUGCCAUGCUCCCUCCUAAUUCCAUUUUGUCGUGGGGAGAUUUAGAACAAAAAUUUCAUGAACAUUUCUUCUCUGGCAAUUAUGAGCUAGAUUUAGUAGACUUAGUGGCCCUACGACAAGAAAAGGAUGAAUCAGUUAGUGAUUACAUCCGGAGAUUCCGGGAUACGAGAAACCGAUGCUUUCAAAUUCAUUUAACACAUAAACAACUGGCGGGAAUAGCUUUUGAUGGAUUGCGCUAUUAUUUAAAAGAGAAAUUAGAAGGCAUCCAGUUCUUUACGCUAGCACAAUUACAUUAGAGAGCUUCGGCUUGUGAAAGCCGAAGCAAAGAACUAGUCAAAAUGGUUCAUCAUAAUGACCAUAUAGUAGAACAUAGUCAAAGUAGUUCGGACGGUGAACCAAAGGAAAUUUACACUACCGAAAUAGUUUGGCCUGAGCAGGCCAAAUCUUCGGCUUGCUCCUCCCUGCAGCCAGUUCAAAAGAAACAGCAGGAGGAGAUUAAGUUUACAUUUAAUGUUGGCAAAUGUGAUAAGAUAUUCGAUGAAUUACUAAAAAAUGGUAACAUUAAGAUUGAUUAUAUCGUUCCACCAGCCGACGAACUAAAGCGUCGUGCAUAUUGCAAGUGGCACAACUUAUUUUCCCAUGCCACUAAUGAUUGUAAUGUGUUCCGACGACAAAUCCAAUCGGCCAUUAAUGAGGGACGAUUGAAAUUUCAGGAGGCCACAGAGCCCUUCCCAAUGAAUAUGAUUGACUUCAAUGGCAAAAAAGUCCUAAUUCGGCCCAGCACAGCCGAUAAGGGCAAAGACAAAGAAGUAAUCAUCGGCAACGCACGGGAGGUCGAUGGAAACAACAAAAUUGCUUGCAGGAAAGUGGUGGCCGAGAAGACUCCUGAUGGAGGGGAGACACUGAAGGUGACCAUCACAAACUCUGGCACUGGAGGGCAAGUGCAGACAAGGGGACAUGCGCAAGAACCCAUACUACGCAUCACGGACGGUCCGGUGCCCAGGCGCGGACGGUCUGUGACAUCGCCAGACGAUCCGGAGUGUUCCAGCGGACGGUCCAGCAACGCCGAAGAACCAAGGCGACCUCGUACCUUCAAACCACGACGACCAAAAAUAGGUACGUGGAAAACUAACACGUUCAAGGCAACUGGUCGGUUGGUAAAAUCCAGCCCGACCUUUGAUCAAUUAUUGUCUAAAUAUGUGAAAAAGAAGGCUGGCCCCAGCGACCGGCCACCAAAGCAACCUCGCUUACCCACCCAGGUGCGACGACAGGUUAGGCCGAUUGGAUCACCGCACCAAUCGGAAAGGACGAGAGGUCAUAAUGUUCAAUCAAGACCUAACGUACCUGCAUGGACACCCUCACCACCAUAUCCACCUAUGCGACAUACACAUACAUACCUCUACCAUAUGUCCCAAAUCAAAUGUGGGGCAUGCCACCCUACCCAUUUGGGAUGCCACAGUGCCCCGCUUGGGGGGCACCCCAAACAUCUGUGUUCAAUAGGUUGACACCUCCGGUACAAGACCGAUUGAGAGCCCCUCAAUCUGGUCCACGAGCACAGGCCCAACAAGAUUGUCGAACAACUCGGCCCCAAAGGCUGACUAAUCCUGCAGGGGGGCAUACAGCUACAACCUCCAACAAUGCGAAAAAAGGAGACGUCAUUAAAAUAGGAACGACAGAUGUCGUCGUACAACAAAGUAACGAAGGACCGAUGAUUUUUGGUGAAUCGGCCAACACAAACAAAAAAGAAGGUAUGGCUGUCAAUAAAACAGCCGAUCCAAAAUACUCCAUGCCCCGAUGGCGCCCAUCGGGAUUGACACGAUCGCAAAAGCGAAAAUUACAGCGCCUCAGAGCAAAGGAGAAUCAGGAAAAGGAGGCGGAAAGAAUAUUCAAUGACACGCAUCCGCAGUAUCUGCCACCACAAAAGAGAUGGAGACCAAAGGCCGUUGAGAAAAAUCAAACGGCCACAAAGAUAGAAAAUAAAACGACAACUGUGCAUCUCUCUGCAAGUAUGGUAGACUGUCCGGCUAUAAAGGCCGGAUCAUCUGCACAGGACGCGGACCAUCCGACCCCUGAGGCCGAACCAUCCGCACUACACCAAGACACCUCCGACGACGUACCGACGCCCAUGGAGGAAGACGACCUGCAAGGAGAAGACCUGGUCGACUACGGAGCUACGCCAGAACACUUAGAAAAUUAGGAAAGCAAGGUGACGAAUUGGUCAGGACCAGUAUGACGCUCGGUAGUGUUGGGACUGACAGUUCGAUCAAAGCUAAAGGGAUCACGUCCGUUGAGUCAACCAUCGAGACCAAGGCUACUGCGUACCAUCCUAGUAAGUGGCAAGAUGCCUAAGAAAACCGAUGUGAUCACAUCGAGUUAGUUGCUUUUGGUUCGCUUAGCUCUACCAAAAGGCAGGGGGGCAUAUGUUGAGCACCAUUUUGAGUGCGCGGACGGUCCGGCCCUGGGGCCGGACGGUCCGCGCAGGCGCAGAACAGAUUAGGGUUCCGAGUUUCUUGCUAUGUUUGUUGGCGAAAAUCUUGGGAUAAGCUCGGAAAUUAGUUUGUAAAGGGUUCAGCCCCCCUCCUCUAUAAAUAGAGAGGUAUACGGCCGAUUUGUAAUCAUCAAUCGAAUCAAUACAACUCAUAUUUCGCAUUUUAUCCUAGGAGUAGUUCUAGUCUAGUUUAGGUUUAGCCUCUCGAUCCCCAAAUUCUUCGCCUCUCUUCGACUCUACGCCGAUUAGAGGAGUCUAGGUCGGCCGGCCUGAGCCUAGACAACCCCUAGGAUCUCUCCUCCCCGACGGGGUCCCUCCCGGGAGCGAGAUCCAGGCGUCGCCGGUGAUCUUCCGCCGCCCCUGCGCACGAGCGGACCGUCCGGCCGUCAGGCAGGGAACCCGAGCUCCUGCACCAGGUCGCGGACCGUCCGGCCCUGUGCCGCGGACCAUCCGCGCCUGACCAGAGAGCGCCGCCGCCGGUUCUUCUUGAGUAUUUGACGCUCCGAAAAAGCGUCAACACACAUCUUCACAGAUUUAAGUACAAGCUAUGCCAAACUGGGUGCUUUUGCGACAGCUUAUCAGUUGGGUUGCUUCUCAAAAUGAACUACAAGCAUUGCAAUAAUCCAUGGUAGUAGUCCGAUUGAUAUGAUCAAUUCCAAAAUGAUUUAAUUGUUUUUUAUAUGAAUGAUGUAAUUUUAUUUGCUUGUUUUAUGGUAAUGAGGUGGUUGUAGUUUAAUCAUAAGAACUGUGUGAUAUAGCGUUGCGGUAAAUAAGAGCUGCCAUGAUCGAUUAGCAGGAUAUCAAUAACUGAGAUUUGACAGUGGAUAGAGACCAUAGUGAACUGAUGAGUCACUGAUUAUUCCGCCCGUUGGUGUCCACCUGUCGUCAUUUGCUGAGGUACUGUACUAGUACAUCACUACUCUACUACUACUACUCCAUACGUCGUCCGUCGGUGCAAAUGGAGCCAAGUGUUUCGUUGGCCGACAAAUGGAGCGGUGGUGGUGUGGUAGGAAAAAAACGCCGGGUUUCCCACGCUACGUACUGCAUCGUUAACUCAGUGCAAGCUGUGAUGUUUACGCUGAUCAAUUACUAAUACUGUAAGGCUCCAUCUAUCUUGGCUGAUGAGACUUGUUCCAAGCUAGCCAUGCCAUGUACAGACUCUCUAUCGGUCUCCAGAGAUCCGGCUAUAAAAUCCUGUGAUGGAUGAUGGGUUGUAAAAUGUAUGUGCACUAGAAGAACCCACAUGACAAAAAACAACCAGAUCUUUUUUUUUUAUAUAUAGGAAGAAAAACAAGAAGAACUAGAAGCAAGGAACAGCGAGAUUCGCGACAGGCGUGCGGCACAGGAGAUGCAUGUGCAAGGCGUGGAUCGCGAAACGGGUUCGUGCGUGCGUGCGUCAGAAUGGAAGGCGCGAACAGCCGGGAGCGCAUCUCCCCGCCCCGUUGCACGCGAUGCUGGAUUAUUCGUUCCGGGGCAAGUGGGGGCUGGCUGGAACACGGAAUAGAAUACGGUUCGAUCCCAUCUCGCGUCGCCAAUAACUACAGCUGCCAGGUUAUAUGCGUAGACAUUAAGUACGACUAUUUUGGUACAGCACCGAUACGACACGGUACGAUACUAACUGUGCCGUGCCGGGCCGGCACAAGAUCUGUUAUGGACCGUGCUUGAGCUUAGAUAAAAGUCGGCACGAGCAUGGCCUAUUUAGCACGACAGCAGUGUUGGUUCCGAAUCCGUAUCCUACGGAGUGGCAGGCGUGGAUACGGAGGUGCGCAUGGAGGGUGCUUUCCAGGAACGCUCCGUAAAAACGACGGUCGUUUAUGUUCCCGCGAUUCCUCUGAAUAGGUAGCUGUUGGCCCCUAUCCGAAGACAGCGGUCGCCCAAAGUACACCUCCACCGUCGUCAUCCUCGUCUCCGGCUGGGCGGCCCGGCGGAUUGGAUCUCCGCAUCGUCUGCGCCUCGGCCGCGGGUAGCUUCCGGCGGAUUGCAGCUCCGCCUCGUCUCCGGACCUCGACAGCGGCUACUCUCCGGCGGAUUUCAGCUCCGCGUCGUCUCCGGCUCGGCCGCGCCUACUCUCUGGCGCCACAAUCUCGUCGGUAUGUUGUUGGUCGUGUUCAAAAAUUCUCCAUUUUCCCGGCAGAUGCGAGUUCAUCAUUACAUGUCCACUGUAUGCGCAACAUUCAACGAUUUAGUGUUUAGGGUUUAGUACUAAAUUCGGAGUUGCCAUGUCGACUGUUUGCAAGGGAUUUGGCAGAUUCAUGACGACUUCUAAUUCGGAUAGGCACCGACAACAUGUCCGACGAAUGUACGACGACGAACACCUUCUCCAUAUGCUACAUUCGUCCAUGGUUGAAGACGAAGAUGAGGAGACACAUGUACAUAGAGGGUCAGUUGUCGGUCGUCGUGUUAUAAACCGGGACAGGGGAUCCGGUUAUGUCAGACUCAUGCAAGAUUAUUUUUCCGACAACCCGGUGUACAAUGACGACAUAUUCAGAAGACGGUUUUGGAUGACAAAGGCUAUGUUCCACAACAUUUGCCAGGCUCUCGAAGCGGCAAACCCAUAUUUCAGGCAAUCGUAUAAUGCUGCCAACGUGCCAGGAUUUCACACCAUACAGAAGGUAACUGCAGCAAUUCGGAUGCUAGCCUACGGAGGUCCAGCCGAUAGCCUCGACGAGUACUUACGCAUGGGCGAAAGUACUAUUCUUGAAACAGUUGGCCAUUUCACUCGGUCAAUUGUGCAGUUGUUUGGUAAUGAGUUCCUUCGGAAGCCAAACAACCAUGACAUAGCUGCUUUCCUACAAGUAGCACAACAAAGAGGUUUCCCUAGGAUGCUAGGAAGCAUAGAUUGCAUGCACUGGGAGUGGGAACGUUGCCCCACUGCAUGGCAAGGGAGUUAUUGUGGCCAUUUCAAAAAACCAACACUGAUUCUCGAAGCAAUAGCAUCACAUGACCUUUGGAUAUGGCACACAUUUUUUUGGUUUGCCUGGUUCUUGCAACGACAUAAAUGUUCUUCACAGAUCACCAGUCUUCGAUAGCAUAACCACAGGUGAUGUUCCUCUUGUUACCUAUGUAGUUAACGACACGCAAUAUGAUAUGCCUUAUUACUUGUGUGAUGGAAUUUACCCUCUUUGGGCAACUUUAAUUAGUGGAGUACCAGCAGCUGUUAGCAACAAGCAACGACUCUUCACUAUGAAACAAGCAGAGUAUCGAAAAGACGUCGAGCGUUGCUUCGGCGUUCUUCAAGGUCAGUACGCAAUAAUUAAAGGUCCUGCACGUUUAUGGCAUCCGGUAGAUUUGAAGUUCAUAGUAGACUAUGCUGUCAUAUGCAUAAUAUGUCUGUCCAAUUUGAAAGGCACCUUCCACGUCUGGAUGGGGUUGACUACGAUGCAGCGACAAGACUUCACAUUCCUAAUACCAGAGAUGUUCCGGAAAUUGCACAACUUAUUGAAAAACACAACGAGAUUAGGUGCAAAUCAGCCAAUGAAAAAUUGAAGAAUGAUCUAAUUGAGCAUGUGUGGAACAAGCAUGGGAACAUGUGAGGAAAGGUAACAAUUAUGAACUCAGAUGGUACUGAAUGUUUGUUUCAAUUGUAGUCCACUAAUAAUUAUUGUUGCUUACUUUGCAGAUAUGUUGUUUGCCAGGUGACUCAAGUCAAGGUUCUGCAUUAUUAUUAGUAGUUUCAUCCUGCUGUAUAACUUUGUGCUGAACAACACAGACAACUGGUAUCUUUGAAUUAUGUAUUGUGCCAAUCUGAUGUAUAAAUUUGUGCUAAACAAUACAGACAACUGCUAUAUUUGAAUUAUGUACUUUGCCAAUCUGCUAUAUAAUAUUGUUCAGAAAGCGUGUGACAUAGGUUUGUGAUGAACAACAAACAUAGCUGUCUUGCCAGGUUCAUCUCCAAGAAUAUUUGCAGAUGUAGCAGCUAUCUUGGCAGGUUCAUCUCCAACAGACACAGCUGGUCAUAUUGUAGGUUCCUGGUAAACAAGAGAGAUAGCAGACACGCGUAGGUAAAACGGUUUCUGGUAAACAGCAGAGUCAGCUGUCUUGCCAGGUUCGAACAAGUGAAGCAAACAAAUCCAUAUUCACGCAGAACUGAAGCAACCAAAUAAGUCAUAUUACUGGACAACGAAGCAGACUGUCACACACAACUCAAACAAACAAAUAAGUCUUAUUACUUCAACAACGAAGCAGACUGUCACACACAACUGAAGCAAACAAAGAAGUCUAUGCCAAAUGAAAGUCGCUAACACAAAGAAAUAAGUCUUAUUACAUCCAGCAGCUCUUUAGCAACACGUCUAUAUCUAGAUCAUUGCUCAGGUGGUGGUGGCAACCUAGACAAAAUGGCCUUCUGCAUGUACAAGUAGUAAUGUCUCGUGUAUGGAGCGACCUUGUCCAAAUCCAUAUUCAUAAUCUGAUCAUCGCGCUCUUGCUGCUGAAGCUUGAACAUGUCCUCAGAGAGCUUCAUCUUCCUUUGUCUAUAUUCUUUUAGGUCUUCCCUCUCAGCAUUUGUAGAUGUAGCAGCUUGUUCUUCAAACUUAGCUCGGUCCAGUUGGAAUUUUUCGAUCAUCUCGAUGCAUGUUGUCGAAUUCAUGGAAGCGUUACCACUACGAGCUUUUUUGGUUCAGUCCCUCCCGGGUGGACGGCGAAAGGGAUCACUCGGUGAACUGACAUUGUCUGUCUCAUUGGGAACCACUUUGGCAUGAUGGACUUCAGCAUUGGAAAGCCAAGUUGUCCACUUGACCUCGUUUCGAAGCAUGUACCAGCAAUGAAUGUAUCUAAAUGGUUUCUUGUGGAUGCCUUCGAACAUUUGUAGUGCAUCUUUGACCUGCAGUGUACGAAACUAGUGGGUUACAAAUUUGAAGGACACAAUAGGAACACAGGGCAAUAAUAAGGAAACGAUUCGAACCUGGUCGUCUUCACUUCUACCACUUUGCUUUAGCCUUAAAACUUUGUCAUAAGCAGCACAAAACUUGGAGGUUUCCCGUUGGAUGUCACCCCACCUGUGUUCCAAUGAAUGUUGUGUUCUUGAGUUAGGUGCUUUCUUGUGUUCAUUGUAGUACUCACUUAUGCGACGCCAAUACGACUUCCCUGAUUGAUUAGUUCCAAUAGCCGGAUCUUUGGAGAUGUUUAGGUAAGCCGACACAAGGACCUCAUCCUCAGCCUGACUGUAGUUUGCAAGUCUUCUUGUGACCGUUUUCUUAACAAUUCUGUUCCGUUGAGUUGGAGGAGUAGUAUUGUUUUCAGAUGCCUGCAAGUUCACGUCAAUGUUGCAAACAUUUUGGAAGGUUGCAUCAUCAUCAAAUUGAGUUAAAUCUAUUCCUUCGGUGUAAACAAAAGGUUGGUGGCCAUGAGAAGGUUCUCCCUGAGUAUACUGCUCCAUUUUACGACUGCGUGAAAACAAACAGCAAACAUAUACCAAUUUAGUACUGAAGUGUACUGAAGUGAUAGUAAUAAGAGGCUAUGCAGCAACACUGGAUACUACUACCGGGAGUUCAGACAUAGUUCCACAAAUGCAAACAUAAAGACACACAAUAGUACCUAGCAGUUUGACUACAACAUACAACCUUCGACAUGACUACAUAAUAGAUUGUUCACGACCUAAACGACUGGUAGUUCUAUAUAUAGUUAUUUGUCAAACUCCAGAAUCCGCAUCAACAGCCCCAAGACUGGUCGCUAUCGUAUUCGAUUCCAAAAUGUUUUUCCAAUAUUUCCCUUUGAGAUAUGGCCUCAGGGCUCGGCAGUGAGUCCACCUCAAGUGUUGCAUCGAUGUCAUGUUCUAACUGACGUUCCUGAUGUUCAGCAACUGGUUGUCUCUUGGUUGUUGCAUAUUUUUUAUGGACAAUGCACACUUCUCAAGCUUGUCACAAACAUCUCCAAUCUGAAACAACAUGGUCUUAAGUGUGUAGACCGACUCAAGUAAAGUAGUUUUGACAACCCCAUCAGUUACAAGACUGCGAAUGAUGUCGACAUGUGCCUCAAUCACUUGAACUGCAGUCUCGACCAUGUCGAGGGGGUCUUUGUCCAUUGACUGAAAUUGAAAAUGACCAAUUCAGAAUGUGGUCAGUUUCUGUUGGUACGAGUGGACUUUUUUUAUCAACCUCGAAUACAACAAUGUGCAAAAAGGUUGAACUACUACGAUGGACUGUACAAACAUGAACAGAGAUGCAACGACAUCCAUGGUAGACGGUACUGGAUCAAAACUAUGCACACAUAAACAACCAGCCGACCUAAAUGUAGUACAGAUGAAUGGACCUAUCUGUUUUGGUUUACCAAAUUAUUUGGACAGACCUAUUGACGAAGUGUCCAUGUUUAGGGUUUCCAUGGGGUACAUCUACCUAUAGCAACGAAUCACUGAAACUGCAACUCUCUGCGCAAUAUUCGAACCCUAUUCAAUAAAAUCAACAAGACUGUGCACUACAAUCUGUGCAAUGAAGUACAGUUUCACAGAUCCGGUAGCGGCUUUCAUACCUUGUGCUUGAAAUGUGUUUCUCUGAGGACGAGCACGCGAUGCCGGGAGAUGUCGAGCGCCGCCAACACUUUUCACCACGCUCCAGCGCCGCAGAUGGGGGCGACGUCCUUGGACCUAGGAGACAAACCUCCAGAACUUAGCGCGAGGCUGGCAGCUGGGAAGAAGAAAGUAGAUUGGUGUCGUCGUACCGAUGAAGGAAGGAAGAAGCAAACCUGGUUCGGAUGACGGUUGGGUUGCGCAGAUGAGAGAGAAUACGCGAGAAAAGGGAGCGCCUUCCCCUGCCCCGUUUGUUUCGUCGCUGGAUACGGUGCCUGCUGGGGAAGUGAACAGUGCGCGGGCGCUUUAAUUUUACGGAUACACGUCCAUAUACGGAGACUGCUGGAGUUGGUCUAAGUACGAAUAGCCCAUCAAACCGAGCAUAAUCUAACAAAAUCCAUUGGUGCCCUAAUCUUACUUGUUCUAAUCUAGCCCACCAUAUAUAAAAAUAUGACCAACUCGACCCCACUUUCAAGCUAUUUUUGAGUUCUAUUACAAAAAAAGAAAAAUAAGCAACAAAAAUAGGGAAAAAAUAAGUUACUUUUUGAGCUCUGUUACAAGGCGGGCCUUGGGUCGCCCGAUACAGUAGCACGACACGGCACGAUAGACUGACACGACCCGUUUAAAACUAGUCGGGUCGUGCUUAGGCUCAAACUUUGGUCUACAGAUGGACAUGCCAUGACCUGCUAUUUAUCCGUGCCAUGCCUUGACCCCGAUUAAAUCAGCACGACCCAUUGGCCACGUAUAGCCACAACCACAACAAAGGAAAACGGCCGACGCACGCUGGCAUUGGUAAGAAGACCAUCAGAUUGUUGAGAACUACAUUACCACGAAUCACCAGAUCUGCUCCCUUCCCUCACGUCGGCAGAUUAGGUGCGAGAAGAUGUGGAAGACACAUCUCCCUUUCCAUAAACAUGACAGAGGAACACACAAGACACAUGAUGUAGUGUUGGUCCUCUGACCUCUUUCUCUUGUCUAUUCCAUAUGAGGGGGUACAUGUUUUAUAUAUAGAGACGAGAUACCUCUGAGGGGCAUAUUCGAUAUUUGCCCACAUAACCCUUCAUUAGGAUUUCUCAACACUCCCCCUUGGGCUUUAGCAAACGAAUUUCUUAUUGUCGCAAGGAUUACAUCAGGAACUUCACCUCAACUCACUUCUAGGAUAUACGAGGUAAGUGCAAGUUUUAACAUAAAUAAGCCACUUAAACUGGUAGUGUUCGAUCAAUUGGAUCUACAUAUUUGGUAGAAACUUUCAUAAAGGUUCAUAAAUUGAUCAUCAAUCCAGCGCAUUCAUGGCAUACAAUAUGACAUUCAGUUCUCACAAUUGUGAUCAAUUUUAAGCAUUCACUUCCCCUGACGAUGACGUUUGUCAAAGUCAUUAUCCCUCAUAACUCAAGCAUAUUCUUCAAGAUAAAGCAUAUUCUUCAAGAUAUCGAUCUCAUUGUUCACCUGGAAUAAUGAGGAUGAAUGAGGUUGGGGUGCUAUCAUUUUCUAUCUUACACCACAAUAUAUACAUAGUUGUGCAAUGCAAAUAACUUGUCCUUCUAGAGGACUUAGGGUAUAACAUGGUUGCAGUAGUACAUAUUUCAAAUAUGACUCGUUCAUUCAUUGCAACUUCUAUGAUAGUGUAACAAAAGUCCAUCAAAGACGUAAUCCAUGAGGGAUUCUUCAUCGAUCAGAUAAAUCGUUAGAGUCUAUUAUUCUGGCAUAAUGGGGAUAUUUUGCCAGUAACACCUAAACCAUCUAGGUUUAUGCCAUAAGGGCUUUAGAGGAUACCGUAAUUUCAUAUCUAGUGGAACAUACCAUGAGUAAAACUCAUGGAAUACACAUGUGCUUAUUUGAUGAACUUAAGUCCUUGUGUACCUCAUCUUAUUCUUUUUCGGGUUUGUAUGGGUCUUUGUUCCUUUUAUAGGGGUUAUCAAACUUUGGUGUGUUCAACAUAGACUUUUUUCUUCUAGAAUGGUUCCAUCAGGGAACUAUAAUCUCAACUAGGAGAUAUUCUCUCUACAUUGGAGAGUGGCCAUUCAUCAUGAAUGCAUUAUUUGGUAUGAAAUUUAUAUGUUGCAUAUUUAUAAUUCAAGAAUAUGAGUCCUCCUAGGAUCUCAUGAUGGAUCUUCUAAAUCCUUUAACUGCAUAUUGUAAUUCAUGCCAUUUGUGAGAUUAUAUCAUAUUGCGGAACAAUGUUUAUUCAACACAUAUGUGGGAUGUGUCUCUCACAAGACCACUUGAACCAUUGCAUUGACCACACAUUAUUUUAAUAGUGCCCAUAAAUGUUCGAACUCCAAGCUCGCGACUUUCACUUUGCGAUUCUUGGUUCAACCUCGAUUGCAUUUAUCAAUGACCCGAUAAGAGAGCUACAAGUACGCAUGCCUAACACUUUGUAUUGGAUCCAAAUGCAAUUUAGAGAGGCAAGAUAGGUGUCGACACAUUUGUCUCCCACAUUUAAUAAUGAUCUUCGUAAUUUCCCAAAAAUGAAUGAUUCAUUGUUCUAUAUUCCCAGCACAAUGAUAUUAUGCGCAUUGCUAGGAAUUUCAUCAUCAGGAUGAACCUCUUUGUGAGGAAAAUCACCAUCAAGGUGAAUUAAUCGGAGGAGAGUUAUCACAGACCACGUGAAUAUGUAAUCAGAACUUUUGCUUUGACUAAGGAUGAUGGAUCAUAUCCACAAGCGUCCCCAAGAAUAGAUCAAAUGCCAAUAAGUCAAAUGUGGAUAUGAUAUUAAUCCCGAGUAUAUCCACAUCUACAUCAGAUAGAAGCAUUCAAACCUAUAUGGUUACUCCUCAACGAUUUCUGGCAAACUCCAUAUACACAGGAGUACACAUUGAAUGACAGGUUCAGCUUGGCUUUUGUCCGUUUUAUAGAAUAUUGAGGCAUUACACUAGAUGGGCAUUUAUCUCCCCCUAAUGUCGAGAUCUUUAAAAAGCGUACAAAUAAAAUCACCAACAAAAAUCAUCCAGUUGUGGCAAAUGUAUGCUAUUGUGGUGUUUUAUUUGGAAAAUUUUACACACAUUGCAGAUAGAGGUUUUAUGUAGUGAGAUUUGGACCUAAAUUAAUGCAGUGGCAUAAAUACCGCAUCUUUUCCUUCUUCAUAAAGAGUUAGUCUCAACUUUUAGCGAGACACACAACAAUAGGUUCUUUGUGGUUACAAUUAUGCAAACUUAUUGUUAUUAUUGCCAAAUACACAAUCAAUCGUUUGAAUUCAGACUGAUAUGUGCAACACUAUGUUAGCCAUAAGGGUCCUUCAGGGGCUCAUGCACACCAUUGGUCGUUUGGAGUAAGUAGUUGACUUCAGACCAACAAGUAAAAUGACCAUCAGGUCCCGUGCUCACAAGGACAUACACUGGUUGCAUUGUGCUUUCAAGCACAUAAAAAAUGUGUGCUCGUAUAAUGGUAGUAAAGUGAACGACAUCAGGUCAAUGCUGCCAAGUAGAGAUAUUUUUUUAUGCGGAGAUGUAUUGUCCAACUCAUUUUAUCAUAGCCCAUGGUUUACCUAAUUGCUCAUACAGUUCUGAAAUCGGGUAUCGAUUUAUGCAACAUUUUUAGGUAUUAAAAUUUUUAGAGAGAACUUAUAACAAUAGUCAUUUAUUUGUGAUCUAAGCUUUCUGUAGGAAACAAUGGCGCCUAAGAAGGGGUUGAAUUAGGACUUCUAAACACUAUCUCUAAACUAGGCCAUAAUUAAAACCCUAGAGAAAAACCUAUGCAAAUAAAUAAUCUAGAAUGUGCAAACUAGGUUUUAUCUAAGUGUUGCUAUUUCUACCGCAAAGCCUAAGUUUCACUCCUAAAUAAUCAAACUAGAAAAGCGAGAUUGAAACUUAAAUACUUAAUAUAAAUACGGAAGGUAAAGAGCAAGGUAGAGAUGCAAACUCUCGUGGAUGACGCUAGUAUUUUUACCGAGGUAUCCAAAACCACACAAGGUUCUGACUAAUUCUCGUUGGUGCCCUUAUGCAAAGUGUAGCCCACUCAAUGGCCAAGCACCUCAGUCGAGUAACUCCAUAGAGAGCUACGUGCCUUCUCCAUGCGCAAGUGGUGCUCCACUUCUGGCUCCUCUCAAACACUCUCCGCCGUCUCCACUAUCGAGCUUCCGGCUGAAACGUCGUGGGUUUCGUUUCCUCCGAUACACGACGGCGGCCAUGACACAAACUCGGUUGUCACGGUCUCGCAAGACUCUCGCCCCACUCGGUACAAUUACAACAACUCGAGCAAGAGCCGAGGGGUUGUGUGGUUUUUCUAAACUCACUCAACUAACUAGGAUUCACCUAGAGCAAGCGCAUAAGCGGUCUAACUAACCUAAGCAUUUCGCAAAGUGCCUACGCUAAUCAUCGAGUGAUUAUAUUAAGCACUUGGGUAUUUGAGCACUUGUAAAUGUAUAUAACAUGUGUUGGUAUGUUGCUUGGGCUCCCACACCUUCAAAUGGAUGGUUGGUGGGGUAUUUAUAACCUCCUUCACAAUUCUAGUCGCUGGACAGAAGGCUGACUGCUCUAUCGUCAGGCGCACCGGAUAGUCCGAUGCCCUGGCCACAUCAGCCGACCGUUGGAUCUGACCGCUAUCCAGACAGUCUGGUGCACACCGGACAGGUACUAUUCAAUGUUCGGUGCACCACUCAGAGCACUGGCUGACUGCCCUCUUCAUGGAUUUCUUCACUGUUUCUUUUGGGCUUCUUUUGUUCUUGAGUCUUGGACUUCUACGCAUCUUUUAGGUCUUCUUUUGAGUUGUUGCAUACUCAGUGCCUCAGUCUAAUCCUCUUCACACCCUGUGAACUACAAACAGAAACACUAGAAAACACAUUAGUCCAUAAGGUUAUGUUGAUCAUCAAACACCAAAAUCGCUUGGCAAAAUGGUCCGGGUCCAUUUUCCUUACAAUCGCCCCCUUUUUGGUGAUUGAUGACAACACAACCAAAGCUAGCAAAUAUAACAAACAUUUUAAAGAAAAUAUGCAAUAUACUUGCUAGGAUGCAUGAAUAUCCCCACAAGGUGAGAUUAUGGACUUAAGCCUCCCCCUAACUCCAUAAUCCACCUUCUUCCUAUUUUAGACCAAAGAUACUUGUAGGACCAAAACCACUAGUAAGAUCAAGAUUUUAAAAUUUUGAAAUUGGGUGGUGUUUGGUGUUUGAUAUAUUUUGAGUUGCUUUGGUCCCUAAAACUUCUCCCCCUUUGAAAUCAAACACCGAAAAGGAAGACAUUAAAAGCAUAUAGGAAGCACAUAAGACUUGCCCUCUAAAGGAUUUACUACUUUUAGCUCUAAAGGAUUAUGUUGGGGGUCUUCUUCCCCGCCGAAGGUCCUCAAGGCAAAAACACCUUCGACAAGAUAAUACAAAGGCAUACGCGACAUGAUGAUACGGAUGGAAACCGAAGCUAUGGCUGAAGAAGCUUCGGCAUAGUAUUAUGACGAAGCCGAAGGUCGUCACCGACUCUAGGGAAAAAGACUAUUUAGUCCUUAAUUAUUUGCAUUAUGAUUGCAAGUAAAUGUCAGGGACAUGAAUGUAAUUGUGUCCGGGCUACGUCCCGUGCCUAUAAAUAGAUGAACAGUACCCCCGUAUUGUUCACGUUAGAUUUUAAUCUCUCUCGUGUCAUGUUUGCAUUCUCACCUUCUGGCGAAGCAAAGGUACCAUAUAUUAUAAAUAUCAUUAAUGUUAAUCCUUAUCUAUGGAUAUAAUACAAAUAAAUUGCGAGGAUUUAAUCAUUAUUUACAUUCUUUAAUGUUCCUUCGCAUUCUUAUUUAUAUUUAUACUUAUAUAUUGAAAUGAUGAAGGUAUGUCCUUCAUGACCUUCGUUUGAAGAUUAUUAUAUCCGAAAGGAAAUAAUGCUUCGAAGACGAAGGUCUUUAACCAUUAACAAUUGUGUUGCCUUGUUCUUAAUUUGUAGUAUUUGAGAACAAGUAACCAACAUAUCACUCUCCCUAAAAGAGUGUUCUCCCCCUUUAAAAGAAUAUUCUCCCCCUUUGUCAUAGACGAAGAUAUACUCCCCCUAUUAGAGACCCUCUCCUUAGGAAAAGCACAUGAGAAACAGAGGUGCAAGAUAUGAUUGAUUUAGACUAACUCCCCCUAUGCAUAGGUAAAAUAUAUAUUUUGACAACAUAUGCAUUUAUAGCAACACAGGAAGCAUAAGAUGUUAGAUGUAGUCUAGUCAAAGUCAGGAGAAGACAUGUAAAUGAUACCAGUUGUGGAGUGAAACCACUUGUGGAAUCAAUUGAAAAUUCUUGUAGAAUUGCAGUGGAAGCUUAUUGUCUUUCUUCGGGGACUCCAUUUUCAUUCAAUGAGACUUACUAAAUGUAAUAGACUUGAAAACAAGUAUUAGUCUCAACUACUUAGAUUAUAGAGUGACCUCCCCCUGAAAGUGUGUAUACAAGUUUUGAAUACUUGUAGGAGACAUGCACUUUGAUUUUGAUAUCAAGAGGGGUAAAUUAUCUAUAAUCCGAGCUUUGACACAUAUAAGUCAAAAUGACACCACUUGGAGAAUACCACUAGUAGGAUAUAAACUUUGAAGCAUUAGUGUCAUUUACUUAGAAAUGUUAAAUAAGCUAUGUGUCGUGCUUAACUAAACAUUUUAAACCAUGUAGGUUUGCUUAAGAAUAUGAAUUGAAAGCGAGCAGUCCUACCAUAUGAUUGACCUAGUAUGCAUGCAAUUCUGAUCAAAAGUAAAUACCACAUGUAAAACUAGGCAUGUAAGAUAAAACCAGAUAUAAAAAUAGAUACGCAUAUCUAAAAACAAAGAAAUGAAAUAAAUCUAGUUACCUUAGUCAUGGGUUGGAAAUUUGGGUACAUAAUUUUUACUAACUCACUUGGCAAUAGACUUGAUCCAAUAUGAUGCAUCCCAUGAUAUACAUCCCAAUUUUGCCAAGUCUCCAAAUUUCCUGAAGUCCUUCGGACUUCUCACUUAUCUCUUGGGAUCCAAACCUUCUUGGUGCUUUUUAUGGUUGAGAUAAUCUUGUUUGGCACCUAGAUGUGUUUGGCCCCCUUUCCUUUGUUGGCUUGCUUGUUAGCCUUGAUUGCUAUCACCUUUCCAUCCUUUUUCUUCUUGAUCAAAAAUGGUGUAGCGGCCUUUUUGUCUAUCUUGUUGAUGUAGGUGUUGGAGAUUUUGUUUGUUGGCUUGAGCGCUUGCUUUUGCUUAUACUCGGACUUCGCCUUGCAUUGGUAAGACUUGUGGCCUUCUUAUGACAUAGCCUACAAAUCACAGUUUCUCUCUCCAUAGGCUUAUUCACUCCCGCGGAGGUGUUAUCCUGAGGAGGUUGGAUUUGUUUGGCUGUCUUUCUUGUCAUACAAGCCCUUGCCAAGGCGAGCCACCUAUUGCUUUAAUUGCUCAUUCUCCAUUGCAAUCUCAUCCGAACAUGUUUCUAUAAGAAUAUUCUUAACAAGAACUUGAUUACAGGGAUUAGAAUCAUCAAUUAAACCAAAGGAAGAAGUAGAAACAUCUUUCUUAAUAAUUUCAGGAAUUUUAACUAUAGAUGCUCCUGGGGUGCUACCGAUGCUCUCUAGCUUACUAGUGAGCUCAUUAUUAUGUAUGCUAAGAAUUUCCAUUUUCUCUAUCAAGUUUUCGAUAACUUCUUGAGAGCUAGCUAACUUAGCCUUAAGUUUUCAUUCUUUUUGAUAAGGCUAUCAUCGAUAGUUGAGGAUGGAGCAUUAUACUCUAAUUGCCCAAUUUUAGUUGUUAGCUCACAAUUCAAAUUUGUAAUUGUUUCAAAAAAAAUAUCCAACAUUUAUAAUCGUUUUUGAGAGCUAAUCAACUUAUUUUUCAAGGUUUUAAGUUGAGCCUUUUGUUUAGUGCAAACAUCCUCAAAAAACUUAACGGUAUGCACAAGUUCAUCUACGGAGGGCUUUCCCUCAUCAUCACAUUCAUCAUCACUAUCAUCACUAGAGGAUGGGAUACUUGUUUUACCUCUUGCCAUAAGGCAUUUGUGUGAUGACCGUGAAGAGUGUGAUGAAGAGUGGUGGCUACGAGUCCUUGGAGGAUCAUCUUCGCUUGAAGAGUUAUCCCAAGUCUUGACACUUGUGAGUGCCUUGCCUUUACUCCUCCUCUUUGUGGAUUCGGCCAUAUUUGGACAGUUGUCCCUAAAGUGGCCAUUCUCCCCUCAUGCGAAGCAUCCUCUCUUUCUUUGCUUUUUCCUAUCAAUGUUAAAGAGAAGAUCCUCAACAUGUAGAGGCACACCCAUUAGAUUAAUCUUGCAAACCAUCCCUAUUACCUUUCCAACACAUCAGACUGUUUCUUCGUCCUCAGAGGAUGAUGUUGAGGGUUGAUCAUCUUCAUCAUCAUCAUCAUCUUCCUCUUAUUCACUUGAGCUUGGAGCCUUCUUCUUGCCUUUUAUCCUUUUGUGUUCGUCACAUGCAAAAGCAUAUGUCUUUGAAGAAGUUGCUCCUCUUAUUGACCCAAUUUCUGUGACAUCUCAAGUGACACAAUUUUUCCAAUCACAAUCGUCGGGGUCAUUUGGCUCAAGUCCUCGAGGUUGUGAAGGAUGGUGAUGAUACUCCCAUAUCUUUGUUGUCGUAGAAGGGAUAUGAUCUUCCUCACAAUAUCAGCAUCACCUAACUUAUUAAUUCCAAUAGAGUUGAGCUCAUUAAUCACAAGAUUUAAGCAUGAAUACAUGUCUCUAACAAGCUCAUUUUCUUUCAUAGCAAAAGAAUUAUACUCAUUUAAGACUAGGCAAUAUUUCUGCUCACAGACAUAAGAUGUGCCAUCAUGGAGCUCAUGCAAUUUUAGUGAAAUCUCAUUAGGAGUUUUCAAGGUAAAUACUUGAUUGAAAAUUUCCAUGCUAAGAGAUUCAUACAAGCAAUUUUUGGAUCUAGCAUUCAAAUGAAUUUCUUUUUCGUCACUCAUGGUGAGCUUCUAGGGAUUCUUAGGCGUUUUCAUCCCUUCACGAGUGACUCUCCAAACACCUAGAUCAACCGCUUCCAGGUUGCAAGCCAUUCUAGCACUAUAAUAUAGGAAGUUAGUACCGUCAAAGUUGAGAGCACCUAGAGGGGGGUGAAUAGGUGAUCAUGUGAAACUUGAAACUUAAUCCACAAAAACUUGAUUAGGCGUUAGCACAAUAAUGCCAAGUGGCUAGAGAGGAGUCUCAACAAAACACAAUAACCACAAGAGAUCAAUCGCAGAGAUGGCACAGUGGUUUAUCCCGUGGUUCGACCAAGACCAACACUUGCCUACUCCACGUUGUGGCGUCCCAACGGACGAGGGUUGCACUCAACCCCUCUCAAGCGGUCCAAAGACCCACUUGAAUACCACGGUGUUUUGCUUGCUUUACUAUAUCCCGUUUGCGAGAAAUCUCCACACUUUGGAGCCUCUCGCCCUUACACUUGAAAUUCACAAAGAAGCACGGAGUAAGGGAGGGAUGAGCAACACACUCAAGACAAGAAAUCACAGCAACACCACGCACACAAGUCGCAACAAGAGCUCACAACACGACUCAAUGAGUUCACAACUCAACUAGAGCUCUAAUUGCUAUCGCAAGGAAUCAAAAGCGUGGAAUCGAUGUCUGAGUGCUUAGGAAUGCUUUGAGAAUGCUUGGUGUACUCCUCCAUGCGCCUAGGGGUCCCUUUUAUAGCCCCAAGGCAGCUAGGAGCCGUUGAGAGCAUUCCAGGAAGGCAAUUCUUGCCUUCUGUCGCUUGGCGCACCGGACAGUCCGGUGCACCACCGGACAUUGUCCAGUGCGGAUCUCUUUCCUUAUUUGGCGAAGGCGACCAUUGGCGCCUUGGAGCCGUUGGCGCACCAGACACUGUCCGGUGCCCCCUUCUAGCCGUUGGCUCGGCCACGUGUCCCGCUCGGCCGACCGUUGGCUCACUGGACAGUCCGGUGAAUUUUAGCCGUACGCCGUUAAUUUCUUCCCGAGAGCAGCAUGUUCGCCUGAGCCAGUCUGGCGCACCGGACACUGUCCGGUGCACCACCGGACAGUCCGGUGCACCCAGACAGAACUGGCUUUUGGCUAAACAAGGCCAUCUCUUCUCCAAUUCGAUUUCUCCUAUUUCCAGCACUUAGACACAAUACAUUAGUCUCUAAAACAAUGUACUAAGUCUGAGAAACAUACCUUUAUACUUGAUUUGUACUUUGUCCACCAUUUGACACUUAGGCACUUGUGUUGGACACUAAAUCACCAAAACACUUAGAAAUGGCCCAAGGGCACAUUUCCCUUUCAAUCUCCCCCUUUUUGGUGAUUUAUGCCAACACAACAUAAAGCAAGUAGAGCAAGUACAAAAUCAAUUCAAAUAAGAACUCAAAUUUGUUUUGAAUCAAAUUUGUCAUAUAUGGAUCAUUCUUUGCCACCACUUGGUUUGUUUUUGCAAAUCAAACUCAAUUUCCUAUCUCUAAGUCAAACACACAUGUUGAAACAUAAAGAGUGAUCAAGGAUUCAAAAACUCCCCCUUUUUCCCAUAAUUAGGCCUUCUCCCCAUAAGAGACCAACUUUUGACAAUAAGAAGCAAACAAGAGUAUUUUGACAAACAAAAACUCUAACUCUACUUUUUCAAAAGUCUCAAGUGGUAGCUGAUCCAUUUCUUGCUUUGGCCUUAUUUUCUCCCCCUUUGGCAUCAAGCACCAAAACGGGAUCAAUUUUGGCCCUUUAACCCCAUUGCCUCACCAAAAUCUUCAACUAAGAGUAAAAAGGCAAUAAGAGUACAAAGAUGAACUUGGAAAAAGUUACUCUUUCAUCGGAGUGCAGUGGAAGUCUUGCAUGGUCCAAGUCCACCUUUUCCCUUUCAAACCUCCUUUGAGACUUAAUUAAGCAAACUCAAACACACAGUUAGUCUCAAAGAGUCAAGUUGUAGCACAUCUCCCCCUAAAUUUGUGCAUCACUUGCAAAUGGACUUGUAAGGUCCAGGGAGUGCUUGUACAACUUGAGCACCAUAAAUAAACAACAAAAUGUUUAAGGAACAUGAUCAAGGGCAUAAACACAUGUAUGCUAUAAAUCAAUCCAAGUUCCGCGAAUCUAAGACAUUUAGCUCACUACGCAACUUGCAAAAGGUCUGCUCAUCUAAAGGCUUGGUAAAGAUAUCAGCUAGCUGGUUCUCGGAGCUAACAUGAAACACUUUGAUAUCUCCCUUUUGCUGGUGGUCUCUCAAAAAGUGAUGCCGGAUGUCAAUGUGCUUUGUGCGGCUGUGUUCAACAGGAUUAUCCGCCAUGCGGAUAGCACUCUCAUUAUCACAUAGGAGUGGGACUUUGCUCAAAUUGUAGCCAAAGUCCCUGAGGGUUUGCCUCAUCCAAAGUAGUUGCGCACAACACUGUCCUGCAACAACGUACUCGGCCUCAGCGGUGGAUAGGGCAACGGAAGUUUGUUUCUUAGAACUCCAUGACACCAGGGACCUUCCUAAGAAUUGGCACGUCCCCGAUGUACUCUUCCUAUCGACCUUACAUCCAGCAUAGUCGGAGUCUGAAUAUCCAAUCAAGUCAAAGGUAGACCCUUUUGGAUACUAGAUCCCGAAGCAAGGCGUAGCGACUAAAUAUCUAAGAAUUCGCUUCACAACCACUAAGUGACACUCCUUAGGAUCGGAUUGAAAUCUAGCACACAUGCAUACGCUAAGCAUAAUAUCCGGUCUACUUGCACAUAAAUAAAGUAAAGACCCUAUGAUUGACCGGUAUGCCUUUUGAUCAACGGACUUACCUCCUUUGUUGAGGUCGGUGUGUCCGUCGGUUCCCAUUGGUGUAUUUGCGGGCUUGGCGUCCUUCAUCCCAAACUGCUUGAUCACGUCUUGCGUGUACUUCGUUUGGGAGAUGAAGGUCCCGUCCUUGAGUUGCCUCACUUGGAACCCAAGGAAGUAGCUUAACUCGCCCAUCAUCGACAUCUCAAACUUUUGAGUCAUCACCCUGCUAAACUCUUCACAAGACUUUUGGUUAGUAGAACCAAAUAUUAUGUCAUCGACAUAAAUUUGGCACACAAAAAGAUCACCAUCACAUGUCUUAGUAAAAAGAGUUGGAUCGGCUUUCCCAACCUUGAAAGCAUUAGCAAUUUAAAAGUCUCUAAGGCAUUCAUACCAUGCUCUUGGGGCUUGCUUAAGUCUAUAGAGCGCCUUAGAGAGCUUACACACGUGGUCGGGGUACCGUUCAUCCUCGAAGCCAGGGGGUUGCUCCACGUACACCUCCUCCUUGAUUGGCCCGUUGAGGAAAGCGCUCUUCACAUCCAUUUGGAACAGCCUGAAAGAAUGGUGAGCGGCAUAUGCUAGCAAAAUACGAAUGGACUCUAGCCUAGCCACAGGAGCAAAAGUCUCCUCAAAGUCCAAACCUGCGACUUGGGCAUAACCUUUUGCCACAAGUCAUGCCUUGUUCCUUGUCACCACUCCGUGCUCGUCUUGUUUGUUGCGGAACACCCACUUGGUUCCCACAACAUUUUGCUUGGGACGAGGCACUAGUGUCCAAACUUCAUUUCUUUUGAAGUUGUUGAGCUCCUCUUGCAUGGCCAACACCCAGUCCGGAUCUAGUAAGGCCUCUUCUACCCUGAAAGGCUCAAUAGAAGAGACAAAGGAGUAAUGCUCACAAAAAUUAACUAAUCGAGACCGAGUAGUUACUCCCUUGCUAAUGUCACCCAAAAUUUGGUCGACGGGAUGAUCCCUUUGAAUCGUUGCUCGAACUUGGGUUGGAGGUGCCGGUUGCGCUUCUUCCUCUAUCACAUGAACAUCUUGUGCUGCCCCUUGAUCACACGCCUCUUCUUGAUGAACCUGUUCACCGUCUUGAGAUGGGGGAUACACCAUUGUUGAGGAAGAAGGUUGAUCUUGCUCCUUUUGUUCCUGAGGUCGUACAUCACCAAUCGCCAUGGUUCGUAUUGCGGCCGUUGGAACAUCUUCUUCAUCUACAUCAUUAAGAUCAACAACUUGCUCUCUUGGAGAGCCAUUAGUCUCAUCAAAUACAACGUCACUAGAGACUUCAACCAAACCCGAUGAUUUGUUGAAGACCCUAUACGCCUUUGUAUUUGAGUCAUAACCUACCAAAAACCCUUCUACGGCUUUGGGAGCAAAUUUGGAAUUCCUACCCUUCUUCACUAGAAUGUAGCAUUUACUCCCAAAAACUCGGAAAUACGAAACAUUUGGUUUGUUACCGGUUAGUAGCUCAUACGAAGUCUUCUUGAGGAGGCGAUGAAGGUAGACCCGGUUGAUGGCGUGGCAAGCCGUGUUCACGGCUUCCGACCAAAAGCGCUCGGGGGUCUUGAACUCUCCAAGCAUCGUCCUCGCCAUGUCUAUAAGCGUCCUGUUCUUCCUCUCUACCACACCAUUUUGUUGUGGUGUGUAGGGAGCGGAGAACUCGUGCUUGAUCCCUUCCUCCUCAAGGUACUCCUCCACUUGUAGGUUCUUGAACUCGGACCCAUUGUCGCUCCUUAUCUUCUUCACCUUGAGCUCAAACUCGUUUUGAGCUCUCCUUAGGAAGCGCUUGAGGGUCCCUUGGGUUUCAGAUUUAUCCUGCAAAAAGAAUACCCAAGUGAAGCGGGAAAAGUCAUCAACAAUAACUAGACCAUACUUACUUCCUCCUAUGCUUAGAUAGGCGACGGGUCCGAAGAGGUCCAUAUGUAGCAGCUCCAGAGGUCUUGAUGUGGUCAUCACAUUCUUGCUGUGAUGCGCUCUUCCCACUUGUUUACCUGCUUGACAAGCUGCACAAGGUCUAUCUUUUUCAAAAGUAACAUUGGUUAGACCUAUCACGUGUUCUCCCUUUAGAAGCUUGUGAAGGUUCUUCAUCCCCACAUGUGCUAAGCGGCGAUGCCACAGCCAGCCCAUGCUAGUCUUAGCAAUUAAGCAUGCAUCUAGACCGGCCUCCUCUUUUGCAAAAUCAACUAAAUAAAGUUUGUCGUCUAAUACACCCUUAAAAGCUAAUGAACCAUCACUUCUUCUAAAGACAGACACAUCUACAUUUGUGAAUAGACAAUUAUAUCCCAUUUUGCACAAUUGACUAACAGAUAACAAAUUAUAUCCAAGAGACUCAACUAAAAACACAUUAGAUAUAGAGUGCUCGGAUGAAAUAGCAAUUUUACCUAAUCCUUUUACCUUGCCUUGGUUCCCAUCACCGAAUAUUAUUGAAUCUUGGGAAUCCUUGUUUUUGACAUAGGAGGUGAACAUCUUCUUCUCCCCCGUCAUAUGGUUUGUGCAUCCGCUGUCGAUAAUCCAGCUUGAACCCCCGGAUGCAUAAACCUACAAGGCAAAUUUAGGCUUGGGUCUUAGGUACCCAACUCUUGUUGGGUCCUACAAGGUUAGUCACAAUUGUCUUAGGGACCCAAAUGCAAGUUUUAUCUCCCUUGCAUCUUGCCCCUAACUUCCUAGCAAUCACCUUCUUAUUCUUUCUACAAAUGGCAAAUGAAGCAUUGCAAGCAUGAUAUAUUGUAGAAGGUUCAUCAACUUUCCUAGGAACAUUAACAACAUUUCUCCUAGGCAUAUGAACAACAUAUCUCCUAGACAUAUCUCUACCAUGCAUAUAGGUAGAACUAGAAGCAAACAUGGCAUGAGAGUCAAAAGCAUCAUAAGCAUUACAACUCCUAUAAGACUGUCUUCUAUCAUGGUACAUAAAAGCAUGGUUCUUUUUAGCACUACUAGCCAUAGGGGCCUUCCCUUUCUCCUUGGCGGAGAUGGGAGCCUUAUGGCUUGUUAAGUCCUUGGCUUCCCUCUUGAAGCCAAGUCCAUCCUUAAUUGAGGGGUGUCUACCAAUCGUGUAGGCAUCCCUUGCAAAUUUUAGCUUGUCAAAUUCAUUCUUGCUAGUCUUAAGUUGGGCAUUAAGACUAGUCAAUUCAUCAUUCAAUUUGGAAAUUGAAACUAGGUGUUCACUACAGGCAUCAAUGUCAAAAUCUUUACACCUAUUGCAAAUCAUAACAUGUUCUACACAAGAGUUAGAUUUACUAGCUAUUUCUAGCUUAGCAUUCAAAUCAUCAUUUUUGCUCCUUAAGCUAGAAAUUGUCUCAUGGCAAGAGGAUAGUUCACAAGAAAGCAUUUCAUUUCUUUUAACUUCUAAAGCAUGAGAUUUUUGUGCCUCUACAAAUUUGUCAUGCUCUUCAUAUAAAAGGUCCUCUUGUUUCUCUAAAAGUCUAUCCUUUUCAUUCAAGGCAUCAAUCAAUUCAUUAAUCUUAUCUAUUUUAGUUCUAUCCAAUCCUUUGAACAAACUAGAGUAAUCUAUUUCUUCAUCACUGGACUCAUCAUCACUAGAAGAAUCAUAAGUGGCAUUGUUUCGAGUACAUACCUUCUUCUCCUUCGCCAUGAGGCAUGUGUGACGCUCGUUGGGGAAAAGAGAUGACUUGUUGAAGGCGGUGGCGGCGAGUCCUUCAUUGUCGGAGUCGGAUGACGAACAAUCCGAGUCCCAUUCCUUGCCAAGGUGUGCCUCGCCCUUAGCCUUUUUGUAUGCCUUCUUCUUCUCCCUCUUGUUCCCCUGUUCCUGGUCACUAUCAUUAUCGGGGCAGUUAGCGAUAAAAUGACCAAUCUUACCACACUUGAAGCAUGAGCGCUUCCCCUUUGUCUUGGUCUUGCUUGGCUGUCCCUUGUGACCCUUUAGCGUCGUCUUGAAGCGCUUGAUGAUGAGAGCCAUCUCUUCAUCAUUUAGCCCUGCCGCCUCAACUUGUGCCACCUUGCUAGGUAGCGCCUCCUUGCUUCUUAUUGCUUUAAGAGCAAAGGGUUGAGGCUCAUUGAUUGGACCAUUCAAUGCGUCGUCCACGUAUCUCGCCUCCUUGAUUAUCAUUCGCCCGCUCACGAACUUCCCAAGAACUUCUUUGGGCGACAUCUUGGUGUACCUAGGAUUUUCACGAAUAUUGUUCACCAGAUGUGGAUCAAGUACAGUAAAGGACCUUAGCAUUAGGCGAACAACGUCGUGGUCCGUCCAUCGUGUGCUUCCGUAGCUCCUUAUUUUGUUGAUGAGGGUCUUGAGCCGGUUGUAUGUUUGGGUUGGCUCCUCGCCCCUUAUCAUUGCAAAUCUCCCGAGCUCGCCCUCUACCAACUCCAUCUUGGUGAGCAAGGUGACGUCGUUCCCCUCAUGAGAGAUCUUGAGGGUGUCCCAGAUCUGCUUGGCAUUGUCCAAGCCGCUCACCUUAUGGUACUCGUCCCUGCACAAAGAGGCUAACAACACAGUAGUAGCUUGUGCAUUUUUAUGAAUCUGUUCAUUAAUAAAUACAGGACUAUCCGAGCUAUCAAAUUUCAUUCCAUUCUCAACAAUCUCCCAUAUACUUGGAUGGAGAGAGAACAGGUGACUACGCAUUUUGUGACUCCAAAAUCCGUAGUCCUCUCCAUCAAAGUGUGGAGGUUUGCCAAGAGGGAUGGAAAACAAAUGUGCAUUUGAGCUAUGCGGAAUACGAGAGUAAUCGAAAGAAAAGUUCGAAUUAACCGUCUUUCUUUUGUCGUAGUCGUUGUCGUCGUUGUCCUUUUGGGAAGAAGUGGACUCAUCGCUGUCGUCGUAGUAGACGACCUCCUUGAUGCGUCUUGUCUUCUUCUUCUUCCCAUCUUUGCGUUUGUGGCCCGAGCCCGAGUCGGUAGGCUUGUCAUUAUUAGGCUCGUUGACGAAGGACUCCUUCUCCUUAUCAUUGAUCACAAUCCCCUUUCCCUUAGGAUCCAUCUCUUCGGGCGAUUAGUCCCUUUCUUGAAGAGAACGACUCUGAUACCAAUUGAGAGCACCUAGAGGGGGGGUGAAUAGGUGAUCCUGUGAAACUUGAAACUUAAUCCACAAAAACUUGAUUAGGCGUUAGCACAAUAAUGCCAAGUGGCUAGAGAGGAGUCUCAACAAAACACAAUAACCACAAGAGAUCAAUCACAGAGAUGGCACAGUGGUUUAUCCCGUGGUUCGGCCAAGACCAACGCUUGCCUACUCCACGUUGUGGCGUCCCAACGGACGAGGGUUGCACUCAACCCCUCUCAAGCGGUCCAAAGACCCACUUGAAUACCACAGUGUUUUGCUUGCUUUACUAUAUCCCGUUUGCGAGGAAUCUCCACACUUUGGAGCCUCUCGCCCUUACACUUGAAAUUCACAAAGAAGCACGAAGUAAGGGAGGGAUGAGCAACACACUCAAGACAAGAAAUCACAGCAACACCACGCACACAAGUCGCAACAAGAGCUCACAACACGACUCAAUGAGUUCACAACUCAACUAGAGCUCUAAUUGCUAUCACAAGGAAUCAAAAGCGCGGAAUCAAUGUCUUAGUGCUUAGGAAUGCUUUGAGAAUGCUUGGUGUACUCCUCCAUGCGCCUAGGGGUCCCUUUUAUAGCCCCAAGACAGCUAGGAGCCGUUGAGAGCAUUCCAGGAAGGCAAUUCUUGCCUUCUGUCGCCUGGCGCACCGGACAGUCCGGUGCACCACCGGACACUGUCCGGUGCGGAUCUCUUUCCUUAUUUGGCGAAGCCGACCGUUGGCGCCUUGGAGCCGUUGGCGCACCGGACACUGUCCGGUGCACACCGGACACUGUCCGGUGCACACCGGACAGUCCGGUGCCCCCUUCUAGCUGUUGGCUCGGCCACGUGUCCCGCGCGGCCGACCGUUGGCUCACCGGACAGUCCGAUGCACACCGGACAGUCCGGUGAAUUUUAGCCGUACGCUGUUAAUUUCUUUCCGAGAGCAGCAAGUUCGCCUGAGCCAGUCUGGCGCACCGGACACUGUCCGGUGCACCACCGGACAGUCCGGUGCACCCAGACAGAACUGGCUUUUGGCUGAACAAGGCCAUCUCUUCUCCAAUUCGAUUUCUCUUGUUUCCAGCACUUAGACACAAUACAUUAGUCUCUAAAACAAUGUACUAAGUCUGAGAAACAUACCUUUAUAAUUGAUUUGUACUUUGUCCACCAUUUGACACUUAGGCACUUGUGUUGGACACUAAAUCACCAAAACACUUAGAAAUGGCCCAAGGGCACAUUUCCCUUUCAAAAGUGUGGUGGCCUAUGGGUAUCCAUCCCCUUCCUCUAAAAAGUGUCGACUCGAUUAGCAGUGAAGCUAAAACAUUUCAAAUGAGCCAAACCGGGCUCCGAUACCACUUGUAGGAAAUGGUGACGCCUAAGAGGGGGUGAAUUAGGACUUCUAAAAACUAUAUCUAAACUAGGCCAUAAUUAAAUCCUAGAGCAAAACAUAUGCAAAUAAACAAUCUAGAAUGUGUAAACUAGGUUUUGUCUAAGUGUUGCUAUCUCUAUCUCAAAGCCUAAGUUUCAAUCCUAAAUAGUCUAACUAGAAAGGCGAGAUUGAAACUUAAAUACUUCAUAUAAAUGUGGAAGGUAAAGAGCAAGGUAGAGAUGCAAGUAUCUUUGGUAGAGAUGCAAGGUAGAGAUGCAAGUGUCUUUAAUCUCCAACGGCACCAAUGCAUCUGGGUCGUCAUCCACUGCGGCACAAUUUUUGCCCUCGUUCUUAGAUAUGCUUCAAAGGUAAAGUCUCUGACUUGCUUCACUAAGAUUGUGCCAUUGAAAGUCGCCUAGAGGGGGGGUGAAUAGGGCGAAACUGAAAUUUACAAAUAUAAACACAACUACAAGCCGGGUUAGCGUUAGAAAUAUAAACGAGUCCGCGAGAGAGGGCGCAAAACAAAUCCCAAGCGAAUAAGCAAGUGAGACACGAAGAUUUGUUUUGCCGAGGUUCGGUUCUUGCAAACCUACUCCCCGUUGAGGAGGCCACAAAGGCCGGGUCUCUUUCAACCCUUCCCUCUCUCAAACGAUCCACGGAUCGAGUGAGCUUUCUCUUCUCAAUCACUUGGAACACAAAGUUCCCACAAGGACCACCACAAGAUUGGUGUCUCUUGCCUUGAUUACAAGUGAGUUUGAUUGCAAAGAAAGGAUUAAGAAAGAAGAAAGCAAUCCAAGCGCAAGAGCUCGAAAGAACACAAGCAAAUCACUCUCUCUGAUCACUAUGGCGUUGUGUGGAGUUUGGAGAGGAUUUGAUCUCUUUGGUGUGUCUAGAAUUGAAUGCUAGAGCUCUUGUAGUAGUUGGGAAGUGGAAAACUUGGAUACCAUGAAUGGUGGGGUGGUUGGGGUAUUUAUAGCCCCAACCACCAAACUUGACCGUUGGCUGGGCUGUCUGUUCGAUGGCGCACCGGACAGUCCGGUGCACACCGGACAGUCCGGUGCCCCCUGCCACGUCAUCACUGCCGUUGGAUUCUGACCGUUGGAGCUUCUGACAUGUGGGCCCGCCUGGGUGUCCGGUGCACACCGGACAUGUACUGUUUGCUGUCCGGUGUGCCAGCAUGGGCGAUUCUGACUCCUGUGCGCGCUGCGCGCGCAUUUAUUGCUCCGCAGAGAGCCGUUGGCACGGAGGUAGCCGUUGCACUGGAGUCGCACCGGACAGUCCGGUGCACACCGGACAGUCCGGUGAUUUUUAGCGGACUAGCCGUUGGCGAUUCCCGAAGCUGGCGAGUUCCUGAGGCCGACCUCCCUUGGCGCACCGGACACUGUCCGGUGUACACCGGACAGUCCGGUGAAUUAUAGCGCUCGUGCCUCUGCGAAUUCCCGAAGGUGGCGAGUUUGAGUCUGAGUCCCCCUGGUGCACCGGACAUGUCCGGUGGCACACCGGACAGUCCGGUGCGCCAGACCAGGGGUGCCUUCGGUUGCCCCUUUGCUCCUUUGUUGAAUCCAAACCUUGGUCUUUUUAUUGGCUGAGUGUGGACCUUUUACACCUGUAUAAUCUAUACACUUGGACAAACUAGUUAGUCCAAUUAUUUGUGUUGGUCAAUUCAACCACCAAAAUUAAUUAGGAACUAGGUGUAAGCCUAAUUCCCUUUCAAUCUCCCCCUUUUUGGUGAUUGAUGCCAACACAAACCAAAGCAAAUAUAGAAGUGCAUAAUUGAACUAGUUUGCAUAAUGUAAGAGUAAAGGUUGCUUGGAAUUGAGCCAAUGUAACUACUUUCAAGAUAUGCAUGGAUUGUUUCUUUCUUAUAUAACAUUUUGGACCACAUUUGCACCACAUGUUUUGUUUUUGCAAAUUCUUUUUGUAAUACAUUUCAAGGAUCUUUUGCAAAUAGUCAAAGGUAAAUGAAUAAGAGUUUGCAGAGCAUUUUCAAGAUUUGAAAUUUUCUCCCCCUGUUUCAAAUGCUUUUCCUUUGUCUAAACCAAAACUCCCCCUAAAGGAGAUCCACCUCUUAGUGUUCAAGAGGGUUUUGAUAUAUCAUUUUUGAAAUACUACUUUCUCCCUUUUGAACACAAUAGGAUACCAAUUGAUAAAUACUUUUGGAAAACUGAAAAUACUAAGUUUUUGAAAUUGGUGGUGGUGCGGUCCUUUUGCUUUGGGCUCAUACUUUCUCCCCCUUUGGCAUGAAUCGCCAAAAACGGAAUCAUUAGAGCCCAUAUUAGUACUAUCUUCUCUUUUGGUCAUAAGUAAAUGAGUUAAAAUUAUACCAAAGACGAAGUCCUUUUGCUUUGAAUUCUCCCCCUUGAGAUGGAGAGAAGCUUGGAGCAACGGCGAAGAAUGAGUUACGGAGUGGAAGCCUUUGUCUUUGCCGAAGACUCCAAUUCCCUUUCAAUAUACCUAUGACUUGGUUGAAAUUGACUUGAAGACACAUUAGUCAUAGCAUAUAAAAGAGAUAUGAUCAAAGGUAUUCAAAUGAGCUAUGUGUGCAAGCUAGCAAAAGAAAUUUCUAGAAUCAAGAAUAUUGAGCUCAUGCCUAAGUUUGGUAAAAGUUUGUUCAUCAAGUGGCUUGGUAAAGAUAUCGGCUAAUUGAUCUUUAGUGUUAAUGUAUGAAAUCUCGAUAUCCCCCUUUUGUUGGUGAUCCCUAAGAAAAUGAUACCGAAUGGCUAUGUGUUUAGUGCGGCUAUGCUCGACAGGAUUGUCGGCCAUUUUGAUUGCACUCUCAUUAUCACAUAGCAAAGGAACUUUGGUUAAUUUGUAACCGUAGUCCCGCAGGGUUUGCCUCAUCCAAAGUAAUUGCGCGCAACAAUGGCCUGCGGCAAUAUACUCGGCUUUGGCGGUGGAAAGAGCGACCGAAUUUUGCUUCUUUGAAGCCCAAGACACCAAGGAUCUUCCCAAGAACUGGCAAGUCCCCGAUGUGCUCUUCCUAUUGAUUUUGCACCCUGCCCAAUCGGCAUCCGAAUAACCAAUCAAAUCAAAUGUGGAUCCCCGAGGGUACCAAAGCCCAAACUUAGGAGUAUAAGCCAAAUAUCUCAAGAUUCGUUUUACGGCCGUAAGGUGUGAUUCCUUAGGGUCGGAUUGGAAUCUUGCACACAUGCAAACGGAAAGCAUAAUGUCCGGUCGAGAUGCACAUAAAUAAAGCAAUGAACCAAUCAUCGACCGGUAUACCUUUUGAUCCACGGACCUACCUCCCGUGUCGAGAUCGAGAUGCCCAUUGGUUCCCAUGGGUGUCUUGAUGGGCUUGGCAUCCUUCAUUCCAAACUUGGUUAGAAUGUCUUGAGUGUACUUUGUUUGGCUAAUGAAGGUGCCCUCUUGGAGUUGCUUUACUUGGAAUCCUAAGAAAUACUUCAACUCCCCCAUCAUAGACAUCUCGAAUUUCUUUGUCAUGAUCCUACUAAAUUCUUCACAUGUAGAUUCGUUAGUAGACCCAAAUAUAAUAUCAUCAACAUAAAUUUGGCAUACGAACAAAUCAUUGUCAAGAGUUUUAGUAAAGAGUGUAGGAUCGGCCUUUCCGACUUUGAAGCCAUUUGCAAUAAGGAAAUCUCUAAGGCAUUCAUACCAUGCUCUUGGGGCUUGCUUGAGCCCAUAAAGCGCCUUAGAGAGCCUAUAAACAUGGUUAGGAUACUCACUGUCUUCAAAGCCGGGAGGUUGCUCAACAUAGACCUCUUCUUUGAUUGGUCCAUUGAGGAAGGCACUUUUCACGUCCAUUUGAUAAAGCUUAAAGCCAUGGUAAGUAGCAUAGGCCAAUAAUAUGCGAAUUGACUCAAGCCUAGCUACGGGUGCAUAGGUUUCACCGAAAUCCAAACCUUCGACUUGGGAGUAUCCCUUGGCCACAAGUCGAGCUUUGUUCCUUGUCACCACACCAUGCUCAUCUUGCUUGUUGCGGAAGACCCAUUUGGUUCCUACAACAUUUUGGUUAGGACGUGGAACUAAAUGCCAUACCUCAUUUCUAGUGAAGUUGUUGAGCUCCUCUUGCAUUGCCACCACCCAAUCCGAAUCUUGUAGUGCUUCCUCUAUCCUGUGUGGCUCAAUGGAGGAAACAAACGAGUAAUGUUCACAAAAGUGUGCAAUACGAGAUCUAGUAGUUACCCCCUUAUGAAUGUCGCCGAGGAUGGUGUCGACGGGGUGAUCUCGUUGUAUUGCUUGGUGGACUCUUGGGUGUGGCGGUCUUGGUUCUUCCUCAUCCUCCUUUUCUUGAUCAUUUGCAUCUCCCCCUUGAUCAUUACCAUUAUCUUGAGGUGGCUCAUCUUCUUGAUUUUGCCCUUCAUCAACUUGAGCCUCAUCCUCAUUUUGAGUUGGUGGAGAUGCUUGCGUGGAGGAGGACGGUUGAUCUUGUGCAUGUGGAGGCUCUUCGGAUUCUUUAGGACACACAUCCCCAAUGGACAUGUUCCUUAGCGCUGUGCAUGGAGCCUGUUCUUCACCUAUCUCAUCAAGAUCAACUUGCUCUACUUGAGAGCCGUUAGUCUCAUCAAACACAACGUCACAAGAAACUUCAACAAGUCCUGAGGACUUGUUAAAGACUCUAUAUGCCCUUGUGUUUGAGUCAUAUCCUAGUAAAAAGCCUUCUACAGUUUUAGGAGCAAAUUUAGAUUUUCUACCUUUUUAACAAGAAUAAAGCAUUUGCUACCAAAAACUCUAAAGUAUGAAAUGUUGGGCUUUUUACCGGUUAGGAGUUCAUAGGAUGUCCUCUUGAGGAUUCGGUGAAGAUAUAACCGGUUGAUGGCGUAGCAGGCGGUGUUGACCGCUUCGGCCCAAAACCGGUCCGGUGUCUUGUACUCAUCAAGCAUGGUUCUUGCCAUGUCCAAUAGGGUUCGAUUCUUCCUCUCCACUACACCAUUUUGUUGAGGUGUGUAGGGAGAAGAGAACUCAUGCUUGAUGCCCUCCUCCUCAAGAAAGCCUUCGAUUUGAGAGUUCUUGAACUCCGUCCCGUUGUCGCUUCUUAUUUUCUUGAUCCUUAAGCCGAACUCAUUUUGAGCCCGUCUCAAGAAUCCCUUUAAGGUCUCUUGGGUUUGAGAUUUUUCCUGUAAAAAGAAUACCCAAGUGAAGCGAGAAUAAUCAUCCACUAUUACAAGACAAUACUUACUCCCGCCGAUGCUUAUGUAAGCAAUCGGGUCGAAUAGAUCCAUGUGGAGUAGCUCAAGCGGCCUGUCGGUCGUCAUGACGUUCUUGUGUGGAUGAUGGACUCCAACUUGCUUCCCCGCCUGGCAUGCGCUACAAAUCCUGUCUUUCUCAAAAUGAACAUUUGUUAAUCCUAAAAUGUGCUCUCCCUUUAGAAGCUUAUGAAGAUUCUUCAUCCCAACAUGGGCUAGUCGGCGGUGCCAGAGCCAACCCAUGUUAGUCUUAGCAAUUAAGCAAGUGUCGAGUUCAGCUCUAUCAAAAUCUACCAAGUAUAGCUGACCCUCUAAUACUCCCUUAAAUGCUAUUGAAUCAUCACUUCUUCUAAAGACAGUGACACCUACAUCAGUAAAAAGACAGUUGUAGCCCAUUUGACAUAAUUGGGAAACAGAGAGCAAGUUGUAGUCUAAAGAAUCAACAAGAAAAACAUUGGAAAUAGAAUGGUCAGGAGAUAUAGCAAUUUUACCAAGUCCUUUGACCAAACCUUGAUUUCCAUCCCCGAAUGUGAUAGCUCGUUGGGAAUCUUGGUUUUUCUCAUAUGAGGAGAACAUCCUUUUCUCCCCGGUCAUGUGGUUUGUGCACCCGCUGUCGAGUAUCCAACUUGAGCCCCCGGAUGCAUAAACCUACAAAACAAAUUUAGUUCUUGACUUUAGGUACCCAAACUGUUUUGGGUCCUUUGGCAUUAGAAACAAGAACUUUGGGUACCCAAACACAAGUCUUGGAACCCUUGUGUUUGCCCCCAACAAACUUGGCAACGACCUUGCCGGAUUUGUUAGUCAAAACAUAUGAUGCAUCAAAAGUCUUAAAUGAAAUGCUAUGUUCAUUUGAUGCAUUAGGAAUUUUCUUCUUAGGCAACUUGGCACGGGUUGGUUGCCUAGAACUAGAUGUCUCACCCUUAUACAUAAAAGCAUGAUUAGGGCCAGAGUGAGACUUCCUAGAAUGAAUUUUUCUAAUUUUGUCCUCGGGAUAACCGGCAGGGUACAAAAUGUAGCCCUCGUUAUCCUGAGGCAUGGGAGCCUUGCCCUUAACAAAGUUAGACAAGUUCUUAGAAGGGGCAUUAAGUUUGACAUUGUCUCCCCUUUGGAAGCCAAUGCCAUCCUUGAUGCCAGGGCGUCUCCCAUUAUAAAGCAUGCUACGAGCAAAUUUAAAUUUCUCAUUUUCUAAGUUGUGCUCGGCAAUUUUAGCAUCUAAUUUUGCUAUAUGAUCAUUUUGUUGUUUAAUUAAAGCCAUAUGAUCAUGAAUAGCAUCAAUAUCAACAUUUCUACAUCUAGUACAAAUAGUGACAUGCUCAGUGGUAGAUGUAGAUGGUUUGCAGGAAUUAAGUUCAACAAUCUUAGCACGAAGUAUAUCAUUUUUAUCUCUAAGAUCGGAAAUUGUAAUUUUGCAAACAUCAAAAUCUUUAGCCUUAGCAAUUAAAUUUUCAUUCUCUAAUCUAAGGCUAGCAAGAGAUACAUUCAAUUCAUCAAUCUUAGCAAGCAAGUCAACAUUAUCAUCUCUAAGAUUGGGAAUUGAAACAUUACAAACAUGUGAAUCAACCUUAGCAUUUAAACUAGCAUUUUCAUUUCUAAGGUUGUCAAUAAUCUCACGACAAGUGCUUAGCUCACUAGACAAUUUUUCACAUUUUUCAACUUGAAGAGCGUAAGCAUUUUUAACCUUAACAUGUUUCUUAUUUUCCUUAAUAAGGAGGUCUUCUUGGGAAUCCAAAAGGUCAUCUUUUUCAUGAAUAGCACUAACCAAUUCAUUCAAUUUUUCCUUUUGAGCUAUGUUAAGGUUGGCAAAAAGGGAACGCAAAUUAUCUUCCUCAUCACUAGCAUUGUCAUCACUAGAGGAUUCAUAUUUAGUGGAGGAUUCAGAUUUAACCUUCUUUUUGCCGUCCUUUGCCAUGAGGCACUUGUGGCCGACGUUGGGGAAGAGGAGUCCCUUGGUGACGGCGAUGUUGGCGGCGUCCUCAUCGUCGGAGGAGUCGCUUGAGCUCUCGUCGGAGUCCCACUCGCGACAAACAUGGGCAUCGCCGCCCUUCUUCUUGUAAUACCUCUUCUUCUCCUUUCUUCUCCCCUUCUUGUCGUUGCCUUGGUCACUGUCACUAGAUAUAGGACAUUUAGCAAUAAAAUGACCGGGCUUACCACACUUGUAGCAAACCUUCUUGGAGCGGGACUUGUAAUCCUUCCCCUUCCUUUGCUUGAGGAUUUGGCGGAAGCUCUUGAUGACGAGCGCCAUUUCCUCAUUGUCAAGCUUGGAGGCGUCUAUUGGUUGUCGACUUGGUGUAGACUCCUCCUUCUUUUCCUCCGUUGCUUUGAAUGCAACGGGUUGAGCUUCGGAUGUGGUGGCAUCAUCAAGCUCGUUGAUCUUCCUCGAGCCUUCGAUCAUGCAUUCAAAACUCACAAAAUUCCUGAUAACUUCCUCGGGGGUCAUUUUAGUAUAUCUAGGAUUACCACGGAUUAAUUGAACUUGAGUGGGGUUAAGGAAAAUAAGAGAUCUUAGAAUAACCUUAACCAUCUCGUGGUCAUCCCAUUUUACGCUCCCGAGGUUGCGCACUUGAUUCACCAAGGUCUUGAGCCGGUUAUACAUGUGUUGUGGCUCUUCCCCUUUGCGAAGCUGGAACCGACCGAGCUCCCCCUCGAUCGUUUCCCGCUUGGUGAUCUUGGUGAGCUCGUCUCCCUCGUGCGCGGUUUUGAGCACAUCCCAAAUCUCCUUGGCGCUCUUCAACCCUUGUACUUUGUUAUACUCCUCUCUACUUAGAGAGGCGAGGAGUAUUGUUGUUGCUUGAGAGUUGAAGUGCUCGAUUUGGGCCACCUCAUCCUCAUCAUAGUUCUCAUCCCCUACCGAAGGUACCUGUACACCAAACUCAACAACAUCCCAUAUACUUUUGUGGAGCGAGGUUAGAUGAAAUCGCAUUAAAUCGCUCCACCUAGCAUAAUCUUCACCAUCAAAAGUUGGUGGUUUGCCUAAUGGGACGGAAAGUAAAGGUGUAUGUUUGGAAAUGCGAGGGUAGUGUAGGGGGAUCUUACUAUACUUCUUGCGCUCUUGGCGCUUAGAAGUGACGGAGGGCGCAUCGGAGUCGGAGGUCGAUGUUGAUGAAGUGUCGGUCUCGUAGUAGACCACUUUCCUCAUCCUCUUGUGCUUGUCGCCUUUCCGAUGCGGCUUGUGGGAAGAAGAUUUUUCCUUCUUCUCUUUGUGGUGAGAAGAGGAAGACCUUUUCUCCUUCCGUUUGGAGGAGUCCUUUUUCUUUUCCUUCCUCUUGGUGCGGGACUCUUCCGAUGAAGUGCUCCCUUGGCUUGUAGUGGGCUUUUCGCCGGUCUCCAUCUCCUUCUUGGCGUGAUCUCCCGACAUCACUUCGAGCGGUUAGGCUCUAAUGAAGCACCGGCUCUGAUACCAAUUGAAAGUCGCCUAGAGGGGGGGUGAAUAGGGCGAAACUGAAAUUUACAAAUAUAAACACAACUACAAGCCGGGUUAGCGUUAGAAAUAUAAACGAGUCCGCGAGAGAGGGCGCAAAACAAAUCCCAAGCGAAUAAGCAAGUGAGACACGGAGAUUUGUUUUACCGAGGUUCGGUUCUUGCAAACCUACUCCCCGUUGAGGAGGCCACAAAGGCCGGGUCUCUUUCAACCCUUCCCUCUCUCAAACGAUCCACGGAUCGAGUGAGCUUUCUCUUCUCAAUCACUUGGAACACAAAGUUCCCACAAGGACCACCACAAGAUUGGUGUCUCUUGCCUUGAUUACAAGUGAGUUUGAUUGCAAAGAAAGGAUUAAGAAAGAAGAAAGCAAUCCAAGCGCAAGAGCUCGAAAGAACACAAGCAAAUCACUCUCUCUGAUCACUAUGGCGUUGUGUGGAGUUUGGAGAGGAUUUGAUCUCUUUGGUGUGUCUAGAAUUGAAUGCUAGAGCUCUUGUAGUAGUUGGGAAGUGGAAAACUUGGAUACCAUGAAUGGUGGGGUGGUUGGGGUAUUUAUAGCCCCAACCACCAAACUUGACCGUUGGCUGGGCUGUCUGUUCGAUGGCGCACCGGACAGUCCGGUGCACACCGGACAGUCCGGUGCCCCCUGCUACGUCAUCACUGCCGUUGGAUUCUGACCGAUGGAGCUUCUGACAUGUGGGCCCGCCUGGGUGUCCGGUGCACACCGGACAUGUACUGUUUGCUGUCCGGUGUGUCAGCAUGGGCGAUUCUGACUCCUGUGCGCGCUGCGCGCACAUUUAUUGCUCCGCAGAGAGCCGUUGGCGCGGAGGUAGCCGUUGCACUGGAGUCGCACCGGACAGUCCGGUGCACACCGGACAGUCCGGUGAUUUUUAGCGGACUAGCCGUUGGCGAUUCCCGAAGCUGGUGAGUUCCUGAGGCCGACCUCCCUUGGCGCACCGGACACUGUCCGGUGUACACCGGACAGUCCGGUGAAUUAUAGCGCUCGUGCCUCUGCGAAUUCCCGAAGGUGGCGAGUUUGAGUCUGAGUCCCCCUGGUGCACCGGACAUGUCCGGUGGCACACCGGACAGUCCGGUGCGCCAGACCAGGGGUGCCUUUGGUUGCCCCUUUGCUCCUUUGUUGAAUCCAAACCUUGGUCUUUUUAUUGGCUGAGUGUGGACCUUUUACACCUGUAUAAUCUAUACACUUGGACAAACUAGUUAGUCCAAUUAUUUGUGUUGGUCAAUUCAACCACCAAAAUUAAUUAGGAACUAGGUGUAAGCCUAAUUCCCUUUCAGCCAUGUAGUCCUGCGAACACACAAGAACACAGUUAUCCUCUCGACCCUUUGUGUGUGUGACACUCCAAUUUGAUUUUGAGAUCUAAUCUUUUCUGCCAUCAAAUUGCACUGCAUCAAUGUAUAUCAGUCUGGUACCAUUCACAACCUACCAAGUGAUCCUUUUAUCUUUGCUUGCUUCAGUGCUGUAUUAAAUUAAUGUGUGUGCACGCUAUGUGAAUAAACUAAACAAUAAGUAUUAGUGUGUAGCAUCAAUGUAUAUCAUGUUCGAUGCCACUAAUGUCUAGAAUAAUUGAUUAGAUUUGGUGUUGCUAGUGUGUAGCAUAAUUUAACAGAUUUGGCGCUGCUAGAAAAAAUUGCUAAUGUCUAGAAUAAGUGAUAUCUGAUAUUGUUUUCACAUUUCUCUCCUUUUGAUUUUCAGUUCUGAAGGUUUUAUGAAGUAUAUGAUGGAUCAGCAAUGUUACCUUCCUGAGAACUCCCACUUUGUUGGAACAACAUCACAUUUCACAACUACAAAUCAGAAAAAUGAGAGCCCAAAUAACAUUGAGAGUGAUGAUGCAAACAAAGAUGUUAGGACCGAGCAAAGGCUAAUCUAGAAACCGGAAGAAGAUGAGAGAGUGGUACUUUUGUAGCCUAACUUUAUGUAUAGAUUAAAUUGAUUAUUGUAGCUAAAUUCAUAAUUUCACGUUAUGUGCAGAUGAGUGCUUGGCUGAAACACUCAAACGAUCCAAUUAGAGGAAACAAUAAGAAGGGUGAUAAGUGCUAGUAAGGCGUAGCAAAAGAGUACAACCUUACAACUGCAAAAAGUAGAUUCAGGACUAAAAAACAAGUUAAGGAAAGGUGGCAUAAAGUAAACAGGUGGAUAAACUCAUUCAAUGAUUGUUGGUUGAAGGUUAGGAGGAUUUACACAAGCGGGUACUCAGAUGAGAUGUGGUUAGAGAAAGCACACAUGCUAUAUGCGAAGGCGAACAAAGGAUCACAUUUUUCGUUGAUGGAUGUAUGGAAAAUGGUUCGUAAUCAAACCAAGUGGAGUGCUUAUAAUGACCAGAACCAUACUAAGAGGAAGGAUAUGGAAAAGGGCGACACGACCGAAGAUGUUGAUCUUCCUCGACCAAUGGGACAGAAGAAGGCUAAACAUAUUGUUCAUGAAGGCAAUGGAAAAUCUAAGGAGAGUGCCAUCAACUUGGAAGGACUAGACAUAUUUGAAAAGAUUCAAAAUGAAGUCCAUGUUAAUCGUCUCAAAGCUCUUGAAAUUGCAGGGAAGAUUAAUAUCGACAAGAUGGAGACAACAAAAAUUGCUCUCGAAAGAGCAAAGGAGGAGAAAGAAGCUAAAUUAAUUGAAACUUAUUCUAGCCUGCUGAAACAAGACACGUCGGUAAUGCCUGAUGACGUUAGGAUUGAACAUGUUACUGCACUAAGGUGUUUGAGGAAAAAGUUAUUUCCGGAGUUACCUUAAUUUUUCUGUAGUCUAGUGAGUAAUAUCCAUAGUGUAUCUGGUGUUGUGCUACUGUCGUGGCUAAUCAAUCGAUGUGCAGGGUAUUCUAGUGUUGACGUUAUAUGUACUAGUAUACACCAUGUUUUGCAGAUGUGCUUCGAAGAAAUUCAGAAAUUCAAGACAACUCAAAGCAUAUUGAGCUCAAGAAAGAUUUAGUUGAACAUAUAUGGCAUCAAUAUGGUCCAAAGUAGUAUGAAUAUUGUAAUUUUAAUUUCCUCUUACCUAAAUUAUAUAUUAUUUAUGUAAAUAUUAUGAGUUCAGAAACAAUACAUCUUUGCAUAUGAAAUUCACAUGCACAAUUGAUCAAGCAUGUUUUAAUUCAACUACAUGUGAUGCAUUUAUUAAAAGACACGAUCAAGAGACUGUCCAUUGUACUAUACAGUCUCUUAGUUGUCUCUUCUGCUAAGAGACGUCUCUGGGUUGUACAUGCCCUUAUGGAGUGAGGGUACCAAUUUUUCAUAGCAACUUUGACCAGGAUUUUUUGUUUGGAUUUGUCCUGCUCUAAUGCUGCAUGAAUCACAGGCCAACUGCUCCCUCUUAGGGCUUGUUCGUUUUGCUCUCAAUCCAUGUGGAUUGGGUGGGAUUGAGUGAGUUUCAAUCCCGAAUAAGUCAAAAUCUUUCAUAUUUUUUUCCAAUCUCAUCCAAUCCACAUGCCAUAGAAAUAACCGAACAAGCCCUUAUCCGGUUGUAUCUUGAGGAGCGAGGAUAUAGUCCACGCGGGGCGAAAACGGCCGGAGCGCACCCUGGUCGCUCGAUCCGGUUUUUUUCCGAGCCAGGUCCGUUCUUCUCUGGCGCGGAUGGAUCGUCAUGGCCACGGGGGCUGAGCGCAGAAGCCAUAGUUUCCUCUCGCGGGCGGCACUUUCUUCACGCGCACCGAGUGCCGCCAGCCGCGGCCCACGUGGGCGCAACGAGCACUGUUGGCCUCGAGCUUGGUACAUGAUGUAGGGUUGGGUCUUAGAACUCUUUCUCUUGUCUAUUCCAUAUGAGAUGGUACAUGUUAUUCUCUUGUAACCCGUUAUUAGGGUUUCAAGGUCCAUUGGUCUUGGUAAAAUGAUGUCGCUGCUAUUUGAAUUAUGUUGGCCUACAAAAUUAGGCCCAUACGACUGGAGCUUCAACUCAACUCACAACACAAAUGGAAGGCCGUCUCAGGCCCAAACACUGGUAACAAAGCAUGAGGCCAAUGUCACAGGCAGCACGUCAAUCUCCGCCCCACCGGCCACGAGCCCACGAGCGACCUUCCAGCGUCUCUGCCCGCACGCGGUCACGCCUAUAAAGCCUUGCCUCCUCGCUAGGGUUUCUUUCUUCCUCCCUUCUUACAGCCGCCGCCGCCGCAUCCCAGCCUCCAUCACCGUUUCCGUCUCGUUGCCAUGGGUAAGCCACACUCUCCUCUUCACCGUUCGCUGCCUCCUUGUGCGUAAGCUGACUGGGUAUGUCGCGUGCGUUGCUAUUCUGCAGGUAAGGUGCACGGAUCGUUGGCGCGCGCCGGGAAGGUCCGCGGGCAGACCCCCAAGGUGGCGAAGCAGGACAAGAAGAAGAAGCCCCGCGGCCGCGCGCACAAGAGGAUGCAGUACAACCGCCGCUUCGUCACCGCCGUCGUCGGCUUCGGCAAGAAGCGCGGGCCCAACUCCUCCGAGAAGUAGGCGCCGCUCGGCUCGUACCGGUUCCUCAUCCUUCCUGCUCUCCGUAUGCUUAUGCUCUUGAUGGUACUAGUUUCGUUGUUCGCAAGCAGAGGAAGAACCUUCUGUAGAUUCGGUUUUGUUGUCCAUGUGCUCAGAUGGGAACUUGAGAUUGUAUGAAUUUGAGAUAUGGUGAUAUGAGCUGAUGAUUUUUAUUAUGCUUAUUGUUGCUCCUCUGAGCUGUUAUUUUUGAACGCUAUCCAAAUAAAUUUGAAACCAGAUUGCUGAUGCGUAUGUACUAGGUUCAGGUAGUUGUGGAUGGAAGUGGAACCGAUAUGCUUCAGCUAUUGGCUCUAUCGUGUAUGCCAUGUUCUGUACGCGAGCCUGAUAUUUGAUUGAAAUGCUGGUUCUAUGCUAGUUUUAGACUGUAGAAAGUGCACGUCGCAGUGAAUCACUUCAUUCUACAAUUGAACCAUGAAUGUCAAGAUGGUGUUUGGUUUCCCUGACUAUAGUUUAGCCUAUGUCAUCGGAUGUUUGAAUGCUAAUAAAGAAUAUCAAAUACAGUUUAAUUGCAAAACUAAUUAUAUAGAUGAGGACUAAAAGGCAAGACAACCUAUUGAGCCUAAUUAGUUUAUAAAUCGUUCAUGCGAUACUACAGUUAACAUUGUGCUCUAUAUAUUGCUCUUUUACUUAAAAGGUUCUCUAUAUCUCAUUCAUCCCAAUAGCAUAGAGAACACUGUUCAUGUGUCUAAAUCUAGACUCGCGGGUUCUGUUGUUUUUUUAACUCUAGUCUAUCCCAACUUUCAGUACUAAAAGACUUAGUUGUAUUUUGCUUGAAUAUGACGGUUGAGUCUUUGUUCUUCUACAUGCCGUGAAUUUCACACUAUAAUUAUCUUUUUUUAUUCACUGUAAAACGGAAACAUGAAUGGCAGCAUGUUAUAGUUUCUGGUGAGUCUGACCUGUGUAUCAGUGUAUGUGACAACAUAAUUUGUUGUUGUAUGCAGUUAUUGAUCUCAUGGUCUGACUUUUAUCCAUUUGUAGGGAUGAAAACAGGUACCCAAACUAUUAGGAUAAAUCUAAUAUUUUUAAAAUAGAUAUGUAUGAAAUGUGAUGUUAAUGUUUUCUUGUGUUAUCUAGCAUAUUAUUACGGAUAAGAAUAUUUUUGCAUAAAUUAUUUUAUAUAUUAUUUGCUUUCUAACAAAAAAUUGAAAAGUUAUUUGUAUCCGAAUUGUAUAAAAAGGAUUGAGGAUAUGAGAAAUUAUAUAUAUAGAGGAUUGAGUAGUGUUCCCUAAAUUUAGACGAGCGUUUAGAGUUGCUGUUUAUAGGUGCUGAAUCCGUAGAGAGAUGACGAGUCUCUAAAAUUUAGUGUACAGGAGUCUCAUCCCUAUUCAGUCGUAGGUACAUUACUUGCCUUGAGGAUACUGGUACUUGAGUUAGGGUCGUUUUGGUUUGCCUGAGUCGUCUGUUCUGUACUGUCGUUGACGGUCAGCAUUCAGCCCCCUAGCUAAUUGCUGGUUUCUACGAUGUGUCGUUGUUUGUUAAACGUUCAACCAUAAGCUAUUUCCCAUACUGUAGCCCCGAUGCUACGGUUUCAAUAUAUCAUGAUGAUAUGAGCUACAAUUUAACUCUCUAAGCUCGGUUUCAAUAUAUCAUGAUGAUAUGAGCUACAAUAAAACAAUUAUUUGCUGCUUUAAAUGCUACUAGAAUUCUUUUUAAAAUAGUUGGUUUUGUCAACUUUGGGUAUUUCAGGUAAAACCCGAAUCCAAACUCGAAAUAUCGUGUACCCAAAAUUUUAGGUAAUAUUUUUGGGACAAAAAUUGGGUAGCGGUUUUUAAUACCUGGAUGCCGGAUUUGUAUUUACUCAAAUUACCUGACUCCGAAUAUUUCAGUAACCCCCCGAAUGCCGAGGCCUAGGUACAAAGCUUCUUGCCUUAGCCACAAGAUCACCCACUUGGCGCCCCUUUGUUAGGCAACAGCCGAGCCAAAGCCAAUAUGGCUUGCCUAGUGCCACUAUAGCACAUGAAUGUAGUCUCUAACAUUAAAGCCAUUUAGUCCGGACAAAAAGGAUGAGAAAGGAGAGGAAAGUUAAACUAGCUGCCCAAAACGCACCAUUUAAAAGGAUCACAAUGUCCAAGAGGGGGUGGUUGAAUUGGGCUUUUCUAAUUUUCUUGGAAAAGAUUAAACCCUAAACAAUAGUCCAAUUUUACCCAACUACUUAGCUAGAUCACAAAAGCUAGGAAACUCUAAGCAAACCCUAAGUCAUCAUGGCAAAUACUAGGAAUGCAAAUACAAUAAGUAAAAUUGCUUAAAGUAAUUGCGGAAUGAAAAGAAAGGGCAAGAAAACUCUUCCAUUUUUUUCUCGAGGUAUCAGAGAUCUCGGAGAGUCGGCACUCUUCACUAAUCCUCGUUGGAGCACCCGCGCAAGGGUAUCACCCCCUUAGUCCUCGUAAGGACCAAGUGCUCACUAUGAGAUGAUCAUUUACUUCUCCGGCGUGGUGGAUCUCUCACGCCCGCGAACAAACUUGAGCUAGGUCACCAACAAAUUCUCCAGGGUGAUCAGAGUAAUAAGCCACAAACUUUCACUUGACCAAGAGAAGCCUAAUACAUGUGGUGUGUGCUCUAGGUGGCUCUCAUGUACACUAAUGAGGUCCUAACGCGAGAUUGUGACUUUACUAAUCACCUCACUAUGCAAUGUAGACUUGCAUGCCCAAAGCAAUGAAUACUAGGUUGUCAGGGGUAGCAAGACAUUCAAUAUGGCCGAUUGCGUAGAAUGACCUUCUUACUAGCAUAUUCGGAGAGCAUUUUGUAACACCCUAAAAUAUUGGCUUGGAGAUUAGAAAAGCUUCAAAAGAUUUUUUAAAAAGAUUUUUAUAAGAAUUUUAUUAGCCUUAAAAUUAUUCUCUUAAAUUAAACAACUGGUACUUUUAAAUCCAAUUAUUCAAAGCCAUACGUAGGUCUUGAAACUGGAAUUUGAAUUUGAAAUUAACUAGAAUACAUAAGUUUUGCAACAAUUCAUAUGGGUGAAUUAUUAGCAAUACCCAAAGGAAUGAAAUACUUAAAUAUACUUUGCAUUCACACUGGAGUUUUUGUUGGUGCAUUUAAAUAUAGUUUGAAUUUUAAAACUAGAUUUAAAUUGAACUUGAAGUUUGAAAUUGGAGAAAUAAAAUGGAGAGAAAAAAAUAAAGAAAACAGAAAAACCUCACCUGGGCCGAAAUUCCCACCUACGGCCAUCUCCCUUGCUACCGCGCAGCCCAGCCACAAUACAUCCCCACGCGCGCACAUCGCUGACACCGUGAGCCGCUCGGUCAGUGCCCGCGCACGCGGACUCGCUCCCACACACCGAUAGGUGGGUCCUCGAUGUCAUCCCUAUCCACACCAACGCCUGCGCGGGUCGUGCAACGAUUGCGGUUGGAGUCCGAUCACCGACAUCAGCGCAACUGUGCAGCCGUAAAACCCGAAUUCCAAUCCCCAUCCCCGGUGUAUAAGUAUCGGGCCUUCCUUCUCUAGUCCCUCUAGACGCAAGGAGGAUGAACGCCGCCGAGAAGAACCGUGAGCGCCACAAGUACUGGAGAGGAAGAAAGCCGUCACCAUCGGGCGCGAAGUGUGCCGAGGAUUGGAGUCGCGGGCACCUCCUGAAGCUGGUUGAGGAGUAUCCGAGCGGGGGGCACCACUGGAGCACCGCUAAUUGCUCGACGGAGCAAUGGCGCCACCGCAGGCGGCACUGCUCCAUGGUCGUAGUUGGUCUCGGAACCAUCUCGGGUAAGUGCUAGCCUCCAGCAUCUCCGAGCUUUGUUGAAACUAUACCGUGGAUGAUUGAGCUCGGGGCAUGACCGGUUCACGGUGAAUUUCUAGCCAUAGCCGAGGGGUCGCCAUUCACCGUGGCAGACCUUCUCUGCAUCUCCACCUCCGGUAUGGACCCCUCUGUUGGGUUCGCCAUCAUCUCGUCCACGAGUUGCACCUUACGGUUAGGAAAUAGUGCACCAAUGAGUGAAUCACGCGACUCCGGCAUGCUCCGCCGCCAGGGAGCCGGGCGGCGCUGUCGCACGUCGGUCGCGUCGAGAGGAUGGUGUGGAAGGCAUUCAUUCUUUGGUGAACGACUUAGAUUAGAUCGUUGUGUACCCCUUUGCAGGUUUGAUCUAGGCGAUUGGAUCCGAUCGGAUGACUGGGGUUUGGGGUAUGGCGUGGGGGUCGAUCGGCCGUUGAUCCGUGAUCCUGAGACCCAUAUCACAUACCGGUUCAAUAGAAAUAGGAAUCUAAUCUGAGCGCUUGGUCGUUGAUCGAACGACUCGGCCCGUCUGAUACCCUUUCGACCUUGUAACUAAGAGCACCUAGAGGGGGGGGGGGUGAAUAGGUGAUCCUGUAAAAAUCAAAUACUUGUAGCCACAAAACUUGGUUAAGAGUUAGUGCAAUAGGACCGAGUGGCUAAGGACCGAGCUUUUGUGAAACACAAUGACCACAAGGAAAAACAACACAGAAGACACGAUGAUUUAUCCCGUGGUUCGGCCAAGUAUAACACUUGUCUACUCCACGUUGUGGCGUCCCAAUGGCUGAUGGUUGCACUCAACCCCUUUCAAGUGAUCCAUUGAUCAGCUUGAAUACCACGAUGUUUUCCUUUCUUAUACUUUCUCCCGUUUGCGAGGAAUCUCCACAACUUGGAGCCUCUCGCCCUUACAAUUGAUGAUCACAAAGAAGCACAGAAGUAAGGGAGGGGAGAGCAACACACACAAGACUCAAAACAAGAGCACAAUCACGCACACAAAGCCACAACUUGAGCUCACAACACAACUCGAGGAGUUCUCUACUCAAAUGGGGCUCAAGUCACUAUCUCAAAGAAUCGAAUGCGCGAGAAUGGAGUCUUGGUGCUUAGGAAUGAUCAAGGAAUGCUUGGAUUACUCCUCCAUGCGCCUAGGGGUCCCUUUUAUAGCCCCAAGGUAGCUAGGAGCCGUUGGAGGCAAUCUUAGAAGGCCAAAGUUGCCUUCUGUCGGGUGGCGCACCGGACAGCUACUGUUCAUGACCGGUGCCCGAUUCCCUUCCAAAUCGGGCGCAACCGACCGUUGCAGAUUGGUGGCAGUUGGCGCACCAGACACUAUCCGGUGCACACCGGACAGUCCGGUGCCCCCUGCCGACCGUUGGAGCGAGCCACGCGUCGCUCGCGGAUUUGGCGGCCGACCGUUGCGCUGGCAGCCGUUGGCUCACCGGACAGUCCAGUGCACCACCGGAUAGUCCGGUGAAUUAUAGUCGUACGCCGCCGAAGUUUUCCCGAGAGUGGCCAGUUUGUCGGAGCUGGCCUGGCGCACCGGACACUGUCCGGUGCACCACCGAACAGUCCGGUGUGCCGGACCGAGCUGAGUCAUGGCUGCUCCAGCCAAGUCCUUUUCUUUUUCUCUUUUCUCUGAUUCUAGCACUUAGACAAAUAUAUUAGCACCCAAAUCAAUGUACUAAGUCUUAGACACAUACCUUCUUGUUGAUUUGCACUUCAUUCAUCAUUUGGCAUAUAAUAACCCACUUAAUGUGUGUUGGACACUUAAUCACCAAAAUAUACUAGAAAUGGCCCAAGGGCACAUUUCCCUUUCAAUCUCCCCCUUUUUGGUGAUUUACGCCAACACAUCAAAAACCAACCAAUAGAAGUGCAACAUCAAUGCAAUUGAGAACAAGAGUAGUCUUUGACAAGAUUUAACAUAUUUGGAUCGUUCUUUGCCACCACUUGGUUUGUUUUUGCAAAUCAAAUUCAUUUUCCUAUCUCUAAGUCAAACACACUUGUUUAGGCACAAAGAGAGAUAAUCCAAGACUAAAAAUUAUUAAGAGCCAAAAACUCCCCCUUUUCCCAUAAUCAAACAUUCUCCCCACAAGAGACCAAAUUUUGAUAGUAAGAGUAUUUUGACAAAUCAAAAGUUCCACUCUACUCUUUUUAAACUUUUCACAAGUGGUAGCUGAUCCAUUUUCUUUGGCCUUAUUUUCUCCCCCUUUGGCAUGAAGCACCAAAACGGGAUCAUUCUUGGCCCUUUAACCCCAUUGCCUCACCAAAAUUUGUCAAUUAAGAGCAAAAAGGCAAUAAGAGCAUAGAUAUGAACUUGGAGUGAAUUACCCUCACAUCAGAGUGCAGUGGAAGUCUUGCAUGGUCCAAGUUCACCUUUCCCUUUCAAUUCACUCUUGAGACUAAAUCAAGUAAACUCAAACACAUGGUUAGUUUCAAGGGGUCAAGUUGUAGCACAUCUCCCCCUAAAUAUGUGCAUCACUUACACAUGGACUUGUGAGGUCCGAGGAUUUCUUGCACGACUUGAGCACCAUAAAUAAGCAAUAAAUCAUAUAAAUGCAUAAGGUAACAUGAUCAAAGGCAUAAAACACAUGUAUGCUAUAGAUCAAUCCAAGUUACGCGAAUCUAAGAUAUUUAGCUCACUACGCAGCCUGCAAAAGGUCUUCUCAUCUAAAGGCUUGGUAAAGAUAUCGGCUAGCUGGUUCUCGGUGCUAACAUAAAACACUUCGAUAUCUCCCUUUUGCUGGUGGUCUCUCAAAAAGUGAUGCCGGAUGUCUAUGUGCUUAGUGCGGCUGUGUUCAACAAGAUUAUCCUCCAUGCAGAUUGCACUCUCAUUGUCACAUAGGAGUGGGACUUUGCUCAGGCUGUAGCCAAAGUCCCAGAGGGUUUGCCUCAUCUAAAGUAGUUGCGCAACACUGUCCUGCGGCAACAUACUCGGCCUCAGCGGUGGAUAGGGCAACAGAGGUUUGUUUCUUAGAACUCCAAGACACCAGGGACCUUCCUAGGAAUUGGCACAUCCCUGAUAUACUCUUCCUAUCAACCUUGCAUCCAGCAUAAUCGGAAUCUGAGUAUCCAAUCAAGUCAAAGGCUGACCCCUUUGGAUACCAGAUCCCGAAGCAAGGCGUAAUAACUAAAUAUCUAAGAAUUCGCUUAACAGCCACAAGGUGGUAUUCCCUUGGAUCGGAUUGAAAUCUAGCACACAUGCAUACGCUAAACAUAAUAUCCGGUCUACUAGCACAUAAAUAAAGCAAGGAUCCUAUCAUAGACCGGCAUGCCUUUUGAUCAACGGACUUACCUCCUUUGUUGAGGUCGACAUGUCCGUCGGUUCCCAUUGGCGUCUUUGCGGGCUUGGCGUCCUUCAUCCCGAACCGCUUGAGCAAGUCUUGCGUGUACUUCAUUUGAGAGAUGAAGGUGCCGUCCUUGAGUUGCUUCACUUAGAACCCAAGGAAGUAGUUCAACUCGCCCAUCAUCGACAUCUCAAAUUUCUGUGUCAUCACCCUGCUAAACUCCUCACAAGACUUUUGGUUAGUAGAACCAAAUAUUAUGUCAUCGACAUAAAUUUGGCACACAAAAAGAUCACCAUUACAAGUCUUAGUGAAAAGAGUGGGAUCGACUUUCCCAACCUUGAAAGAAUUAGCAAUUAAGAAAUCUCUAAGGCAUUCAUACCAUGCUCUUGGGGCUUGCUUAAGUCCAUAGAGCGCCUUAGAGAGCUUACACACAUGGUCGGGAUACCUGUCAUCCUCAAAGCCGGGGGUUGUUCCACAUACACCUCCUCCUUGAUUGGCCCAUUGAGGAAAGCGCUCUUCACAUCCAUUUGAAACAACCUGAAAGAGUGGUGAGCGGCAUAGGCUAAUAAUAUUCUAAUGGACUCUAGCCUAGCCACAGGAGCAAAAGUUUCCUCGAAAUCCAAACCUGCGACUUGGGCAUAACCUUUUGCCACAAGUCGAGCCUUGUUUCUUGUCACCACCUCGUGCUCGUCUUGCUUGUUGCGGAACACCCACUUGGUGCCCACAACGUUUUGCUUUGGACGUGGCACCAGGGUCCAAACUUCGUUUCGCUUGAAAUUGUUGAGCUCUUCCUGCAUGGCCAACACCCAAUCCGGAUCUAGCAAGGCCUCUUCUACCCUGAAAGGCUCAAUAGAAGAGACAAACGAGUAAUGCUCACAAAAAUUAGCUAAUCUAGAGCGAGUGGUUACUCCCUUGCUUAUAUCACCCAAAAUAUGGUCGACGAGAUGAUUCCUUUGAAUUGUCGCUCGGACUUGAGUUGGAGGGGCCAGUGGUGCUUCUUCCUCCAUAACUUGUUCUUCUUGUGCUCCCCCUUGAUCACACGCCUCCUCUUGAUUUGGGGGAUGCACCAUGGUUGAGGAAGAAGGUUGAUCUUGUUCUUGUUGUUCCUGUGGUCGCACAUCUCCAAUCGCCAUGGUGCGUAUUGCGGCCGUUGGAACAUCAUCUUCAUCUACAUCAUCAUCCAAAGUAGUUGCGCGCAACACUGUCCUGCGGCAACGUACUCGGCCUCAGCGGUGGAUAGGGCAACGGAAGUUUGUUUCUUAGAACUCCAAGACCUUCCUAAGAAUUGGCACGUCCCUGAUGUACUCUUCCUAUCGACCUUGCAUCCAGCAUAGUCGGAGUCUGAAUAUCCAAUCAAGUCAAAGGUAGACCCCUUUGGAUACCAGAUCCCGAAACAAGGCGUAGCGACUAAAUAUCUAAGAAUUCGCUUCACAGCCACUAAGUGACACUCCCUUGGAUCGGAUUGAAAUCUAGCACACAUGCAUAUGCUAAGCAUAAUAUCCGGUCUACUUGCACAUAAAUAAAGUAAAGACCCUAUCAUAGACCGGUAUGCCUUUUGAUCAACGGACUUACCUCCUUUGUUGAGGUCGGUGUGUCCGUCGGUUCCCAUCGGAGUCUUUGCGGGCUUGGCGUCCUUCAUCCCAAAACGCUUGAUCAAGUCUUGCGUGUACUUCUUUUGGGAGAUGAAGGUCCCAUCCUUGAGUUGCCUUAUUUGGAACCCAAGGAAAUAGCUUAACUCGCCCAUCAUCGACAUCUCAAACUUUUGAGUCAUCACCCUGCUAAACUCUUCAAAAGACUUUUGGUUAGUAGAACCAAAUAUUAUGUCAUCGACAUAAAUUUGGCACACAAAAAGAUCACCAUCACAUGUCUUAGUAAAAAGAGUUGGAUCGGCUUUCCCAACCUUGAAAUCAUUAGCAAUUAAAAAGUCUCUAAGGCAUUCAUACCAUGCUCUUGGGGCUUGCUUAAGUCCAUAGAGCGCCUUAGAGAGCUUACACACAUGGUCGGGGUACCGUUCAUCCUCAAAGCCAGGGGGUUGCUCCACAUAUACCUCCUCCUUGAUUGGCCCGUUGAGGAAAGCGCUUGAAAGGGAAUUAGGCUUACACCUAGUCCCUAAUUAAUUUUGGUGGUUGAAUUGCCCAACACAAAUAUUUGGACUAACUAGUUUGCUCUAGUGCAUAAGUUAUAUAGGUGCCAAAGGUUCACACUUAGCCAAUAAAAAGACCAAGUAUUGGGUUCAACAAAAGAGCAAAGGGACAACCGAAGGCACCUCUGGUCUGGCGCACCGGACUGUCCGGUGUGCCACCGGACAUGUCCGGUGCACCAGAGGACUCAAACUUCAAACUCAUCACCUUCGGGAAAUUCCAGAGGCAACUCCGCUAUAAUUCACCGGACUGUCCGGUGUACACCGGACAUGUCCGGUGCUCCAAGGAAGAGCGGCCUCCGGAACUCGGCAGCCUCGGGAAUCCACUUCGGCCACUCCGCUAUAAUUCACCGGAUUGUCCGGUGUACACCGGACUGUCCGGUGUAACAACGGGGCAACGACUACUACGGCGCCAAUGGCUACCUGCAGGCGCAAUUAAUGCGCGCCAGCGCGCACAGAGGUCAGACACGCCCAUGCUGGCGCACCGGACAAUCUACAGUGCAUGUCCGGUGCGCCACCGGACAUCCAGGCGGGCCCAGAAGACAGAACUCCAACGGUCGAACCCAACGAAUUUUGGUGACGUGGCUGUCGCACCGGACAUGUCCGGUGUGCACCGGACUGUCCGGUGCGCCAUCGAACAGACAGCCUCACCAAACGGCUAGUUUGGUGGUUGGGGCUAUAAAUACCCCAACCAACCCACCAUUCAUGGCAUCCAAGUUUUCCAGCUUCCAACCACUAUACAAGAGCUAGCAUUCAUUGCAAAGCACACCAAAAGAGAUCAAAUCCUCUCCCAACUCCACACAAAGCCUUAGUGACUAGAGAGAGUGAUUUGUAGUGUUCAUUUGAGCUCUUGCGCUUGGAUCGCUUCUUUUUCUUUGGCAUUCUUUCUUGUGAUCAAACACUCACUUGUAAUUGAGGCAAGAGACACCAAUCGUGUGGUGGUCCUUGCGGGAAGUUUGAUUCCCAAGUGGUUUGAUAAAGAGAAGCUCACUCGGUCCGAGGGACCGUUUGAGAGAGGGAAGGGUUGAAAGAGACCCGACCUUUGUGGCCUCCUCAACGGGGAGUAGGUUUGAGAGAACCGAACCUCGGUAAAACAAAUCCGCGUGUCUUACUUCAUUAUUCGCUUGCGAUUUGUUUUGCACCCUCUCUCGCGGACUCUAUUAUAUUUCUAACGCUAACCCGGCUUGUAGUUGUGUUUAUUUUUGAGAAUUUCAGUUUCGCCCUAUUCACCCCCCCUCUAGGUGACUUUCAAUUGGUAUCAGAGCCCGGUGCUUUAUUAGAGCCUAACCGCUCGAAGUGAUGUCGGGAGAUCACACCAAGAGGGAAAUGGAGACCGGCGACAAGCCCACUACGAGCCAAGGGAGCACUUCAUCGGAAGAGUCCCGCACCAAGAGGAAGGAGAAGAAGAAGGACUCCUCCAAACGGAAGGAGAAAAGAUCUUCCUCUUCUCACCACAAAGAGAAGAAGGAAAAAUCUUCUUCUCACAAGUCGCAUCGGAAAGGCGAUAAGCACAAGAGGAUGAGGAAAGUGGUCUACUACGAGACCGACACUUCAUCAACAUCAACCUCCGACUCCGAUGCGCCGUCCGUAACUUCUAAGCGCCAAGAGCGCAAGAAGUUUAGUAAGAUCCCCUUACACUAUCCUCGUACAUCUAGACCUACUCCAUUGCUUUCCGUUCCAUUAGGCAAACCGCCAACCUUUGAUGGCGAAGAUUAUGCUAGGUGGAGUGAUUUAAUGAAAUUUCAUCUAACCUCACUCCACAAAAGUAUAUGGAAUGUUGUUGAGUUUGGAGCACAGGUACCAUCCGUAGGGGAUGAAGACUACGAUACGGAUGAAGUGGCCCAAAUCGAGCACUUCAACUCUCAAGCUACAACCAUACUCCUCGCCUCUCUAAGCAAGGAGGAAUACAACAAGGUGUAAGGGUUGAAGAAUGCAAAGGAGAUUUGGGACCUACUCAAGACCGCGCACGAAGGUGAUGAACUCACCAAGAUCACCAAGCGGGAAACGAUCGAGGGGGAGCUCGGUCGCUUCCGUCUUCGCCAAGGGGAGGAGCCACAAGAUAUGUACAACCGGCUCAAAACCCUGGUGAACCAAGUGCGUAACCUCGGGAGCAAGAAAUGGGAUGACCACGAAGUGGUUAAGGUUAUUUUGAGAUCACUUAUUUUCCUUAACCCCACUCAAGUUCAAUUAAUACGUGGUAAUCCUAGAUACACACUAAUGACUCCCGAGGAAGUAAUCGGGAAUUUUGUGAGCUUUGAAUGUAUGAUUAAAGGCUCAAAGAAGAUCAACGAGCUUGAGGAGCCCUCCACGUCCGAAGCACAACCGGUGGUAUUUAAGGCGACGGAGGAGAAGAAGGAGGAGUCUACACCGAGUAGACAACCAAUUGACGCCUCCAAGCUCGACAAUGAGGAGAUGGCUUUAAUCAUCAAAAGCUUUCGCCAAAUCCUCAAGCAACGGAAGGGGAAGGAUUACAAAUCCCGUUCCAAGAAGGUUUGCUACAAGUGUGGUAAGCCCGGUCACUUUAUUGCUAAAUGUCCUUUAUCAAGUGACAGUGACAGGGAUAACGACAAGAAGGGCAAGAGGAGAGAAAAGAAGAGGUACUACAAGAAGAAGGGCGGCGAUGCCCAUGUUUGCCGGGAGUGGGACUCGGACGAGAGCUCCACCGACUCCUCCUCCGACAAGGACGCCGCCAACAUCGCCGUCACCAAGGGACUCCUCUUCCCCAACGUCGGCCACAAGUGCCUCAUGGCAAAGGACGGCAAAAGGAAGAAGGUUAAAUCUAAAUCCUCCACUAAAUAUGAGUCCUCUAGUGAUGAUAAUGCUAGUGAUGAGGAAAAUAAUUUGCGUACCCUUUUUGCCGACCUAAACAUGCAACAAAAAGGAAAAUUAAAUGAAUUAAUUAGUGCCAUCCAUGAGAAGGAUGAUCUCUUGGACUCCCAAGAGGACUUCCUAAUCAAGGAAAAUAAAAAGCAUGUUAAGGUUAAAAAUGCUUAUGCUCUACAAGUUGAAAAAUGUGAAAAAUUGUCUAGUGAGCUAAGCACUUGCCAUGAGACCAUUGACAACCUUAGAAAUGAAAAUGCUAGAUUAAUUGCUAAGGUUGAUUCUCAUGUAUGUGAUGUCUCAAUUCCCAAUCUUAGAAAUGAUAAUGAUUUGCUUGCUAAGAUUAAGGAAUUGAAUGAUUCUCUUGCUAGCCUUAGAGUAGAAAAUGAAAAUUUGAUUGCUAAGGCUAAAAAUUUUGAUGUUUGCAAUACUACUAUUUCCGACCUUAGAACUAAGAAUGAUAUGUUGCAUGCUAAGGUUGUAGAACUAAAAUCUUGCAAACUCUCUACAUCUACCGUUGAGCACACUUCUAUUUGUACUAGAUGUAGAGAUGUUAAUAUCAAUGCUAUUCAUGAUCACAUGACUUUAAUUAAACAACAAAAUGAUCAUAUAGCAAUAUUAGAUGCUAAAAUUGCCGAGCAUAACUUAGAAAAUGAAAAGUUUAAAUUUGCUAGAAGUAUGCUCUAUAAUGGGAGACGCCCUGGCAUCAAGGAUGGCAUUGGCUUCCAAAGGGGAGACAAUGUCAAACUUAAUGCCCCUCCUAAGAACUUGUCUAACUUUGUUAAGGGCAAGGCUCCCAUGCCUCAGGAUAACGAGGGUUACAUUUUGUACCCUGCCGGCUAUCCUGAGAACAAAAUUAGGAGAGUUAAUUCUAGGAAGUCUCACUCUGGCCCUAACCAUGCUUUUAUGUAUAAGGGUGAGACAUCUAGCUCUAGGCAACCAACCCGUGCCAAGUUGCCUAAGAAAAAACUCCUAAUGCAUCAAAUGAGCAUGACAUUUCAUUCAAAACUUUUGAUGCAUCAUAUGUGCUUACUAACAAAUCCGGCAAGGUUGUUGCCAAGUUUGUUGGGGGCAAACACAAGGGCUCCAAGACUUGUGUUUGGGGUACCCAAAGUUCUUGUUUCUAAUGCCAAAGGACCCAAGACCGUUUGGGUACCUAAAGUCAAGAACUAAAAUUGUUUUGUAGGUUUAUGCAUCCGGGGGCUCAAGUUGGAUACUCGACAGCGGGUGCACAAACCACAUGACAGUGGAGAAGAAAAUGUUCUCCUCAUAUGAGAAAAACCAAGAUCCCCAACGAGCUAUCGCAUUCGGGGAUGGAAAUCAAGGUUUGGUCAAAGGAUUGGGUAAAAUUGCUAUAUCACAUGACCAUACCAUUUCAAAUGUUUUUCUUGUAGAUUCUUUAGAUUACAAUUUGCUUUCCGUAUCUCAAUUAUGUCAAAUGGGCUACAACUGUCUAUUUACUGAUGUAGGUGUCACUGUCUUUAGAAGAAGUGAUGAUUCAAUAGCAUUCAAGGGAGUGUUAGAGGGUCAGCUAUACCUGGUAGAUUUUGAUAGAGCUGAACUCGACACUUGCUUGAUUGCUAAGACUAACUUGGGUUGGCUCUGGCACCGCCGACUAGCCCAUGUUGGAAUAAAGAAUCUUCAUAAGCUUCUAAAGGGAGAACACAUUUUAGGACUAACAAAUGUUCAUUUUGAGAAAGACAGGAUUUGUAGCGCAUGCCAAGCCGGGAAGCAAGUUGGCACUCAUCAUCCACACAAGAACAUCAUGACUAGUGACAGGCCACUGGAGCUCCUACACAUGGACCUAUUCGGCCCGAUCGCUUACAUAAGCAUCGGCGAGAGUAAGUACUGUCUAGUUAUUGUGGAUGAUUAUUCUCGCUUCACUUGGGUGUUCUUUUUGCAGGAAAAAUCCCAUACCCAAGAGACCUUAAAGGGAUUCUUGAGACGGGCUCAAAAUGAGUUCGCCUUAAGGAUCAAGAAAAUUAGAAGCGACAACGGGACGGAGUUCAAGAACUCACAAAUAGAAGGCUUUCUUGAGGAGGAGGGCAUCAAGCAUGAGUUCUCUUCUCCCUACAACCCACAACAAAAUGGUGUAGUGGAGAGGAAGAAUCGAACUCUAUUGGACAUGGCAAGAACCAUGCUUGAUGAGUACAAGACACCGGAUCGGUUUUGGGCCGAAGCAGUCAACACCGCCUGCUACGCCAUCAACCGAUUAUAUCUACACCGAAUCCUCAAGAAGACAUCAUACGAACUCCUCACCGGUAAAAAGCCAAAUAUUUCAUAUUUUAGAGUUUUUGGUAGCAAAUGUUUUAUUCUUGUCAAAAGAGGUAGAAAAUCUAAAUUUGCUCCUAAAACUGUAGAAGGCUUUUUACUAGGAUAUGACUCAAACACAAGGGCAUAUAGAGUCUUAACGAAGUAUGGCAUUUAGUUCCACGUCCUAACCAAAAUGUUGUAGGAACCAAGUGGGUCUUCCACAACAAGCAAGACGAGCAUGGUAUGGUGACAAGGAACAAAGCUCGACUCGUGGCCAAGGGGUAUUCACAAGUCGAAGGUUUGGAUUUUGGUGAAACCUAUGCACCCGUAGCUAGGCUUGAGUCAAUUCGCAUAUUAUUGGCCUAUGCUACUUACCAUGGCUUUAAGCUUUAUCAAAUGGACGUGAAGAGUGCCUUCCUCAACGGACCAAUCAAGGAAGAGUUCUAUGUUGAGCAACCUCCCGGCUUUGAAGAUAGUGAGUACCCUAAUCAUAUCUAUAGGCUCCCUAAGGCGCUUUAUGGGCUCAAGCAAGCCCCAAGAGCAUGGUAUGAAUGCCUUAGAGAUUUCCUUAUUGCUAAUGGCUUCAAAGUCGGCAAGGCCGAUCCUACUUUAUUCACUAAGACUCUUGACAAUGAUUUGUUUGUAUGCCAAAUUUAUGUUGAUGAUAUCAUAUUUGGGUCUACUAACGAAUCUACAUGUGAAGAAUUUAAUAGGAUCAUGACACAAAAAUUCGAGAUGUCGAUGAUGGGGGAGUUGAAGUAUUUUCUAGGAUUCCAAGUCAAGCAACUCCAAGAGGGCACCUUCAUUUGUCAAACAAAGUAUACUCAAGACAUUCUAACCAAGUUUGGAAUGAAGGAUGCCAAGCCCAUCAAGACACCCAUGGGAACCAAUGGGCAUCUCAACCUCGACACGGGAGGUAAGUCCGUGGAUCAAAAGGUAUACCGGUCGAUGAUUGGUUCAUUGCUUUAUUUAUGUGCAUCUCGACCGGACAUUAUGCUUUCCGUUUGCAUGUGUGCAAGAUUCCAAGCCGACCCUAAGGAAUCACACCUUACGGCCGUAAAACGAAUCUUGAGAUAUUUGACUUAUACUCCUAAGUUUGGGCUUUGGUACCCUCGGGGAUCCACAUUUGAUUUGAUUGGUUAUUCGGAUGCUGAAAGGGAAUUAGGCUUACACCUAGUUCCUAAAUAAUUUUGGUGGUUAAAUUGCCCAACACAAAUCUUUGGACUAACUAGUUUGCCCAAGUGUAUAGAUUAUACAGGUGUAAAAGGUUCACACUCAGCCAAUAAAAAGACCAAGUUUUGGAUUCAAUAAAGGAGCAAAGGGGCAACCGAGGGCACCCCUGGUCUGGCGCACCGGACUGUCCGGUGUGCCACCGGACAGUGAACAGUACCUGUCCGGUGCACCAGGGGACUCAGACUCAAACUCUUCACCCUCGGGAUUUCUCGGAAGCCGGCGCGCUAUAAUUCACCGGACUGUCCGGUGUGCACCGGACAUGUCCGGUGCUCCAAGGAAGCGCGGCCUCCGGAACUCGCCAGCCUCGGUUUCGCGUGGCAGCCGCUCCGCUAAAAUUCACCGGACUGUCCGGUGUGCACCGGACUGUCCGGUGUGCCAGCGGAGCAACGACUCUCUUCGGCGCCAACGGCUCUCUGCGGUGCAUUUAAUGCGCGCGCAGCGCGCGCAGACGUCAGACUUGCCCAUACCGGUGCACCGGACAUCAAACAGUACAUGUCCGGUGUGCACCGGACACCCAGGCGGGCCCACAAGUCAGAAGCUCCAACGGCUAGAAUCCAACGGCAGUGAUGACGUGGCAGGGGCACCGGACUGUCCGGUGUGCACCGGACUGUCCGGUGCGCCAUCGAGCAGACGCCUCCAGCCAACGGUCAAGUUUGGUGGUUGGGGCUAUAAAUACCCCAACCACCCCACCAUUCAUUGCAUCCAAGUUUUCCACUUCUCAACUACUACAAGAGCUCUAGCAUUCAAUUCUAGACACACUAAAGAGAUCAAAUCCUCUCCAAUUCCACACAAAGCCCUAGUGACUAGUGAGAGUGAUUUGCCGUGUUCAUUUGAGCUCUUGCGCUUGGAUUGCUUCUUUUCUUUCUCACUUGUUCUUGAGAUCACACUCCAUUGUAAUCAAGGCAAGAGGCACCAAUUGUGUGGUGGCCCUUGCGGGGAAGUUUUGUUCCCGGCUUUGAUUAGAGAAGAGAAGCUCAUUCGGUCCGAGGGACCGUUUGAGAGAGGGAAGGGUUGAAAGAGACCCGGCCUUUGUGGCCUCCUCAACGGGGAGUAGGUUUGCAAGAACCGAACCUCGGUAAAACAAAUCUCCGUGUCUCACUUGCUUAUUCGCUUGGGAUUUGUUUUGCGCCCUCUCUCUCGGACUCGUUUAUAUUUCUAACGCUAACCCGGCUUGUAGUUGUGUUUAUAUUUGUAAAUUUCAGUUUCGCCCUAUUCACCCCCCCUCUAGGCGACUAUCAAUUGGUAUCAAAGCCCGGUGCUUCAUUAGAGCCUAACCGCUCGAAGUGAUGUCGGGAGAUCACGCCAAGAAGGAGAUGGAGACCGGCGAAAAGCCCACUACAAGCCAAGGGAGCACUUCAUCGGAAGAGUCCCGCAUCAAAAGGAGGGAGAAGAAGAAGAGCUCCUCCAACAAAGGGAAGGAGAAGAAAUCUUCUUCUCAUCACAAAGAGAAGAAGGAAAAAUCUUCUUCCCAUAAGCCGCAUCGGAAAGGCGACAAGCACAAGAGGAUGAGGAAGGUGGUCUACUACGAGACCGACACUUCAUCAACAUCGACCUCCGACUCCGAUGCGCCCUCCGUCACUUCUAAGCGCCAAGAGCGCAAGAAGUAUAGUAAGAUCCCCCUACGCUACCCUCGCAUUUCCAAACAUACACCUUUACUUUCCGUCCCACUAGGCAAACCACCAACUUUUGAUGGUGAAGAUUACGCUAGGUGGAGCGAUUUAAUGCGAUUUCAUCUAAUCUCGCUCCACAAAAGCAUAUGGGAUGUUGUUGAGUUUGGUGCGCAGGUACCAUCCGUAGGGGAUGAAAACUAUGAUGAGGAUGAGGUGGCCCAAAUCGAGCACUUCAACUCUCAAGCCACAACCAUACUCCUUGCCUCUCUAAGCAAGGAAGAAUACAACAAAGUGCAAGGGUUGAAAAAUGCAAAGGAGAUUUGGGAUGUGCUCAAAACUGCGCACGAGGGAGAUGAGCUCACCAAGAUCACCAAGCGGGAAACAAUCGAGGGGGAGCUCGGUCGGUUCCGGCUUCACAAAGGGGAGGAGCCACAACACAUGUACAACCGGCUCAAGACUUUGGUGAACCAAGUGCGCAACCUCGGGAGCAAGAAGUGGGACGACCACGAAGUGGUAAAUGUUAUUUUAAGAUCUCUCAUUUUUCUAAAUCCCACUCAAGUUCAAUUGAUUCGUGGUAAUCCUAGAUACACUAAAAUGACCCCCGAGGAAGUUAUCGGGCAUUUUGUAAGUUUUGAGUGCAUGAUAGAAGGCUCGAGGAAAAUCAACGAGCUUGGCGACACAUCCGAAGCUCAACCCGUUGCAUUCAAGGCGACGGAAGAAAAGAAGGAGGAGUCUACACCAAGUCGACAACCAAUAGACGCCUCCAAGCUUGACAAUGAGGAGAUGGCGCUCGUCAUCAAGAGCUUCCGCCAAAUCCUAAAGCAAAGGAGGGGGAAGGACUACAAGUCCCGCUCCAAGAAGGUUUGCUACAAGUGUGGUAAGCCCGGUCAUUUUAUUGCUAAAUGUCCUAUAUCUAGUGACAGUGACCGAGGCGACGACAAGAAGGGGAGAAGAAAGGAGAAGAAAAGGUACUACAAGAAGAAGGGCGGCGAUGCCCAUGUUUGUCGGGAAUGGGAUUCCGACGAAAGCUCAAGCGACUCCUCCGACGACGAGGACGCCGCCAACAUCGCCGUCACCAAGGGACUCCUCUUCCCCAACGUCGGCCACAAGUGCCUCAUGGCAAAGGACGGCAAAAAGAAGGUUAAAUCUAAAUCCUCCACUAAAUAUGAAUCCUCUAGUGAUGACAAUGCUAGUGAUGAGGAAGAUAAUUUGCGUUCCCUUUUUGCCAACCUUAACAUAGCUCAAAAAGAAAAAUUGAAUGAAUUGGUUAGUGCUAUUCAUGAAAAGGACGACCUUUUGGAUUCCCAAGAGGAUUGUCUAAUUAAAGAAAACAAAAAACAUGUUAAGGUUAAAAAGGCUUAUGCUCUAGAAGUAGAAAAAUGUGAAAAAUUAUCUAGUGAGCUAAGCACUUGCCAUGAAAUAAUUGACAACCUUAGGAAUGAAAAUGCUAUUUUAAAUGCUAAGGUUGAUUCUCAUGUUUGUGAUGUUUCAAUUUCCACUCCUAGAGAUAAUAAUGAUGAUUUGCUUGCUAGGAUUGAAGAAUUGAACAUUUCUCUUGCUAGCCUUAGAGUAGAAAAUGAAAAGUUGAUUACUAAGGCUAAAGAACUAGAUGUUUGCAAUGUUACAAUUUCUGACCUUAGAACUAAAAAUGAUAUGCUGCAUGCUAAGGUUGUAGAAUUAAAAUCUUGCAAACCCUCUACAUCUAUUGUUGAGCAUGUAUCUAUUUGUACUAGAUGUAGAAAUGUUGAUAUUGAUGCUAUUCAUGAUCACAUGAUUUUAAUUAAGCAACAAAAUGAUCAUAUAGCUAAACUAGAUGCUAAAAUUGCCGAGCACAACUUAGAAAAUGAGAAAUUUAAAUUUGCUCGUAGCAUGCUGUAUAAUGGGAGACGCCCUGGCAUCAAGGAUGGCAUUGGCUUCCAAAGGGGAGCCAAUGUCAAACUUAAUGCCCCUCCUAAGAACUUGUCUAACUUUGUUAAGGGCAAAGCUCCCAUGCCUCAGGAUAACGAGGGUUACAUUUUAUACCCUGCCGGCUAUCCUGAGAGCAAAAUUAGGAAGAUUCAUUCUAGGAAGUCUCACUCUGGCCCUAAUCAUGCUUUUAUGUAUAAGGGUAAGACAUCUAGUUCUAGGCAACCAACCCAUGCUAAGUUGCCUAAGAAGAAAAUUCCUAAUGCAUCAAAUGAUCAUGCCAUUUCAUUUAAAACUUUUGAUGCAUCUUAUGUGCUUACUAGCAAAUCCGGCAAGGUAGUUGCCAAAUUUGUUGGGGGCAAACACAAGGGCUCCAAGACUUGUGUUUGGGUACCCAAAGUUCUUGUUUCUAAUGCCAAAGGACCCAAAACCGUUUGGGUACCUAAAGUCAAGAACUAAAAUUGUUUUGUAGGUUUAUGCAUCCGGGGGCUCAAGUUGGAUACUCGAUAGCGGGUGCACAAACCACAUGACAGGGGAGAAAAGGAUGUUCUCCUCAUAUGAGAAAAACCAAGAUCCCCAACGAGCUAUCACAUUCGGGGAUGGAAAUCAAGGUUUGGUCAAAGGUCUUGGUAAAAUUGCUAUAUCUCCUGACCAUUCCAUUUCCAAUGUUUUUCUUGUUGAUUCAUUAGAUUACAACUUGCUUUCUGUUUCCCAAUUAUGUCAAAUAGGCUACAACUGUCUAUUCACUGAUGUUGGUGUCACUGUUUUUAGAAGAAGUAAUGAUUCAAUAGCAUUUAAGGGAGUGUUAGAGGGUCAGCUAUACUUGGUAGAUUUUGAUAGAGCUGAACUCGACACUUGCUUAAUUGCUAAGACUAACAUGGGUUGGCUCUGGCAUCGUCGACUAGCCCAUGUUGGGAUGAAGAAUCUUCAUAAGCUUCUAAAGGGAGAGCACAUUUUAGGAUUAACAAAUGUUCAUUUUGAGAAAGACAGGAUUUGUAGCGCAUGCCAGGCAGGGAAGCAAGUUGGAGUCCAUCACCCACACAAGAACAUCAUGACGACCGACAGGCCGCUUGAGCUACUCCACAUGGAUCUAUUCGGCCCGAUUGCUUACAUAAGCAUCGGCGGGAGUAAGUAUUGUCUUGUUAUUGUGGAUGAUUAUUCUCGCUUCACUUGGGUAUUCUUUUUACAGGAAAAAUCUCAAACCCAAGAGACCUUAAAGGGAUUCUUGAGACGAGCUCAAAAUGAGUUCGGCUUAAGGAUCAAGAAAAUAAGAAGCGACAACGGGACGGAGUUCAAGAACUCUCAAAUUGAAGGCUUCCUUGAGGAGGAGGGCAUCAAGCAUGAGUUCUCCUCUCCCUACACGCCACAACAAAAUGGUGUAGUGGAGAGGAAGAAUCGAACUCUAUUGGACAUGGCAAGAACCAUGCUUGAUGAGUACAAGACACCGGACCGGUUUUGGGCCGAAGCGGUCAACACCGCCUGCUACGCCAUCAACCGGUUAUAUCUUCACCGAAUCCUCAAGAAGACAUCAUAUGAACUCCUAACCGGUAAAAAGCCCAACAUUUCAUAUUUUAGAGUUUUUGGUAGCAAAUGCUUCAUUCUUAUUAAAAGAGGUAGAAAAUCUAAAUUUGCUCCUAAAACUGUAGAAGGCUUUUUACUUGGUUAUGACUCAAACACAAGGGCAUAUAGGGUCUUUAACAAGUCCACUGGACUAGUUGAAGUCUCUUGUGACGUUGUGUUUGAUGAAACUAACGGCUCUCAAGUAGAGCAAGUUGAUCUUGAUGAGAUAGGUGAAGAACAGGCUCCAUGCAUCGCGCUAAGGAACAUGUCCAUCGGGGAUGUGUGUCCUAAGGAAUCCGAAGAGCCUCCAAGUACACAAGAUCAACCAUCCUCCUCCAUGCAAGCAUCUCCACCAACUCAAAAUGAGGAUGAGGCUCAAAAUGAUGAAGAGCAAAAUCAAGAAGACGAGCCACCUCAAGAUGAUAGCAAUGAUCAAGGGGGAGAUACAAAUGAUCAAGAAAAGGAGGAUGAGGAAGAACCAAGACCGCCACACCCAAGAGUCCACCAAGCAAUCCAACGAGAUCACCCCGUCGACACCAUCCUCGGCGACAUUCAUAAGGGGGUAACUACUCGAUCUCGGGUUGCUCAUUUUUGUGAACAUUACUCUUUUGUUUCCUCUAUUGAGCCACACAGGGUAGAGGAAGCUCUCCAAGAUUCGGAUUGGGUGGUGGCGAUGCAAGAGGAGCUCAACAAUUUCACGAGGAAUGAGGUCUGGCAUUUAGUUCCACGUCCUAACCAAAAUGUUGUAGGAACCAAAUGGGUCUUCCGCAACAAGCAAGAUGAGCAUGGUGUGGUGACAAGGAACAAAGCUCGACUCGUGGCCAAAGGGUAUUCACAAGUCGAAGGUUUGGAUUUUGGUGAAACCUAUGCACCCGUAGCUAGGCUUGAGUCAAUUCGCAUAUUAUUGGCCUAUGCUACUUACCAUGGCUUUAAGCUCUAUCAAAUGGACGUGAAAAGUGCCUUCCUCAACGGACCAAUCAAGGAAGAGGUCUAUGUUGAGCAACCUCCCGGCUUUGAAGACAGUGAGUAUCCUAAUCAUGUCUAUAGGCUCUCUAAGGCGCUUUAUGGGCUCAAGCAAGCCCCAAGAGCAUGGUAUGAAUGCCUUAGAGAUUUCCUUAUUGCUAAUGGCUUCAAAGUCGGCAAGGCCGAUCCUACACUCUUUACUAAAACUCUUGAAAAUGACUUGUUUGUAUGCCAAAUUUAUGUUGAUGAUAUUAUAUUUGGGUCUACUAACGAGUCUACAUGUGAAGAGUUUAGUAGGAUCAUGACACAGAAAUUCGAGAUGUCGAUGAUGGGGGAGUUGAAGUAUUUUCUAGGAUUCCAAGUCAAGCAACUCCAAGAGGGCACCUUCAUUAGCCAAACAAAGUACACUCAAGACAUUCUUGCUAA